UUUUUUUUUAUUGUCUUUAGUAGUUUUAGUUUAUUUCUUUGUAAUCCGCUUAGUGUGAUGGAAUGAUGUACAUAUUGGGCGAAAAUGAAUAUUUGGCAAACUCUCUUAAAUUGAUGUUAUAUGCUUUGUUGACACUUGAACCUUAAAUAUGUAAUUUAGUUCUCAUUUUUAAUAUUUUUGAAAUCAUAUUUUCCUUUGAUUAAAUAGUAAAAGAUGGAAUUCACAGUGUAAAUAAUAAUAUUCUUAACAAUUUCAAUACAAAACAACCCAUAAUCACCCCAAAACCCGGUGUCACAAGUGCAUGAGCAUCAACUAGGAAUGUAAAAUAAAAUACAACAUCUGUCCGGAAUAUAAAUUUAGACAGGAGAAUAUAAAUACUCUGAAGGAGACUCUACCGGUGUCGGGUCGUAAUAUGGAAUGCAACUCACGUAAGUCCCUGCAUGCAUACACGCCUCUGCUCUCACAAGACCACUAUUCACAUAUGUACCUGCACAAAAAUGUGCAGCAAGUGUAGUAUGAGUACGGAAUCAACGUGUACCCAGUAAGUAUCUAGCCUAACCCCGGAGAAGUAGUGACGAGGGGUUGACAUCGACACUUACUAGUGGUCCAAUAAUAUCAUGUACAGUAAAGAGGUAAGUAAACAUGAAGCAGCGUAAAUAAAUGAGAUAAACAAGUAUAGAUUAUGUGGUACAAAUACCCCUCUUUAGGAGGAAUCCGAGCUCUCCAUUUGGAAAUUUCCUCCUUAACCGGAGCAUAUAUAUGAAUAUAGUGGAUCUCAUCAGAUAGAUUUUCAUAACCCAAAUCGGGAAAACUUACAGAUACUCUGGCUUCUUGCCAAAUAUUACGCACGAUUUCCAUGAGGAUAUGAUAUAGGAAAUGCCGAGGCGUAAGGGCCAAUCCAACAUAAAAUUUAAACUUUGCACUGCCGAGGGUCGAAUGGCGCGAACCAUAGUUACAUCUAUUAAACUGCCGAAGCGAACGGCCCACUCCCAUGAGAGUGUGGUACAUAAAUCCCGUCGAGGCGAUCGGCCCGAUCCCAUAAAAGUGAAAUACAUAAUCCUACCAAGGCGAACGACCCGAUCCCAUAAGAAUGAGAAAUACAAAUCCUACCGAGGCGAACAGUCUGAUCCCAUUAGAAUAAGGAGCUUUGACGGGUCUUUGACCCCACUCACGAAUAAACCUGUGAGUUGUAAUUUCUUUUACAAAAACUUUCAAUGAAUCAAAUUUAUCACAGAAGCAUUUCGUAGGAGGAGAAAAAUUAUUUGGUGACAAAUCAUGUACUCGUGAAGCCUCUACAAUAGCAAUUCUAGUCCCAGGAAGUAAUGUAAAAAUAGAGGAAUUUAAUAGUCAAGAGACUGCUCAAAUAGUACAGCUAUAGCAUGAUGUGAACCUAAGCCUACCUGGAUAAUAACAUGAAUGUAACUACAUACGGGCUCUCGGCACCUCACACAUACGUAGCUCCCACAACAAGUAGCACACAUCAAUAUGCAACACCUAGGGGUAAUUUCCCCCUCACAGAGUUAGACAGGAGACUUACCUCGCUCCGAAAUUCUAUAACCGACUCCAAAGCCUCUCUAACACCUCAAACCGAUGCCCGUCGCCCAAACUAGUCAAUUAAGAUGCAACCCAAACAAAAUGUACUCUAAUUCUCAUAAUUUAUCAAUUUAUAACAAUUUUCAACUCCGCUCGAAAAAUCGAUAAAGCAACCCUCGGGCCCACAUGCUCGAAUUCUGAAGCUUUUCGAAUACAAACACUACCCAUAGCACUACGAACUCAAAUAUAUAAUUUAUUCUAAAUUUCAUGCCCAAAUUCGUGAUCAAAAUACAAGAAUACCAAUUUCUAGGUUUUUCUUCAAAAUCCUAAAUUUUCACAAAUUUCCAAGUUUAAAUCCUUAUAUAAUCCAAGUAUUUAACUUGCAAUAGAUGGGAAUCACUUACCUUGACAUAGAUGACGCAAAUCUCCCUUCCAAGAGCUCCAAAUAUCGUCAAACCAAAUGAAAAAUGGGUGACAUGAACCCAAACCCCGCUUUAAAAACAUUCUGCCCAGCCCGACCUUCGCACCUGCGGUCAAAUAGCUGCUUAUGCGGCUCCGCACCUGCAGAUAUUCCAUUGCAGGUGCGGCUCUAGCUCGGCCCAACAGUCCUGCAUCUUCGGUCCAUGUAGCGCAUCUACGCGUCCGCUUCUGCGGUCCAUGCGCCGCACCUGCACCCAUCGCCCUCUCUAGCGUUGCCCACUUAGCACAUGCGCCUUCGCAGGUGCGCCCAAAUGUUCCGCACAUGCGGUUGCUGACCAGCCUCCUCUCCGUCGCACCUGCGACUCGUGGCUCGCACCUACGGCCGUUUUCAGGCAUGUGCGAUUGCACCAGAUAUCAGCUGCCUCAGCAUUUCAUCGAAGUCCAAACUCGAUCCGUUAACCAUCCGGAAUCCACCCGAGGCCCUCGGGACCUCAACCAAAUAUACCAACACAUCCAAAAACACAUCACGAACUUAGUCGAGCCUUUAAAUCACAUCAAACAACCCUAAAACAUGUUUUACCCUCUAAUUCAAACUUAUUGAACUUUCAAACAUCAACUUCUACAAUCGAUGCCGAAACUUAUCAAAUCACGUACGAUUGACCUCAAAUUUUGCACACAAUUCAUGAUCGACAUUACGGACCUACUCCAACUUCCAGAAUCAAAAUCCGACCCCGAUAUCAAAAAGUCCAAUCCCGGUCAAACUUCUUAAAAUUAUCCAAGUUUCCAACUUUCGCCCAAAAUGACCUAUGGACCUCUAAAUCCACUUCCGGACGCGCUCCUAAGACCGGAAUCAUCAUACGGAGCUAUUUCCAGACUUGGAAUCCCAAACGGACGUCGAUAUCAUUAAAACGCACUUCAACUCAAAUUUAUGAAAUCCUUCCAAAAUGCUAACUUCCACAAUAGGCGCCGAAACGUUCCUGGAUCAUCCAGAAUCUGAUCCGGACAUACGCCCAAGUCCAAAAUCAUCAUAAGAACAUGUUGGAACCUUCAAAUCCCAAUUCCGAGGUCAUCUACUCACAAAUCACACUUUAGUCAAUUCCUCCAACUUAAGGCUUUUGAAAGUAGAAUUUUUUUUCCAAAUCAAUUCUGAACUUCUAGAAUUUAAAUUCCGACCACGCGUUAAAGUCAUAAUACCUGAAGUGAAGCUGCUCAGGGCCUCAAACCGCUGAACGACGCGCUAGAGCUCAAAACGACCGAUCGGGUCAUUACAUUCUCUCCCACUUAAAUAUACGUUCGUCCGCGAACGUGCUAAGAACUGCCCCGGAGCUGACCAUAAUCAAUGUUUAACACCUUAUGCACUUGCCCAUGCUACCACAACCCAGUUGAGCACAUUAGCUGGAGCGAACCUGAUUAUCUUUCCUUUUAUCUGGUCAAAUAACUUUAGAACCAAAUUAAAACAUCUGAAAUCCCCUUCCAUGUCUAUUUCCAACAUACAAACGCCGUACUAAUCACUACACGAUGCACCAAUACAUGUUCGCAUACCUUGAAUCCACACCAUGCACUGUAUAAUUCACAUGACCAUAAUAACAUCCCCUAAUAACAACAGUUGAAAACACAUGAAUCUGAUGCUUAUAACACACCUCAUGACUCAUAUAAGUCCUGUUCCAACUCUUGGAAUACUGCCACGACAGAGAAGAUGUGUAGAACUCAUAACCACCUGUCGAAUCACAAUUUAUGGAGUCUCUCCUCUAGACAAGAACCAUUACCUCAUUAUGGACAGAAUAAUAAUAUUUACUUUUAAAUAUGCUUCAUAUAAAUCUGAUCUCACUGAUCCCAGGUCCAAUAAUUUCAUCUCACCCAGUACAAACUGCUUAGGCAUUAAUCCACCUCAGACACUACCGAAAGUCUCAUAUGAUUCCACAAUGUGCCAACAAGCUACAAACUCGAAGGUGAUACAUAAGGAAACAAACUUUGGAAAGAUCUACUCAACCCACGUAACUAAUUUAAACAACUUAAAAGAUGAUAUGAACCUUCCUCAGGAAACGAGAAGCAAAACACACAAUGAUAGAUAUGGGAAACUGUACUCAAUAACACACUGUUGCGGCGUACAACCCGAUCCACACAUGAUACCGUUGCGGCAUGCAACCCGAUCCAACCAUGAUACUCGUGACGGCGUGCCACCCGAUCCAAACAACAUAUCUCUGGUGGCGUGCCACCCGAUUCAACCAUAUACCCAUGGCAGCGUGCGACCUGAUCCACAUAUAAUAAUCUAAAGAAAACACACAUCGAGCCGAAACACUUAUUCUCACAAAAUGCCCGAAUAUCAACCAUAAGCAAGCCAAGUGCAUAAUACAAAACCUGGGGAGACGGGUAGUGUCACGUUCUACAAAAUGCAAGAACAACUAAGGAGCGAUAUAUGAUCUGCAUCUCGAGAGCCAUCCUGCUCACAUAAUACUACAAACCAUACGGGACCUCAAUACGAGUGCGAAUAAUCAAACCACCUCACAACCCACCUAGUAUAAUAUAGAUUACACGGAAUAGCUGAUGACAGAAAUAACAUCCAAGGCCCGAAGACCCUUCUAAAACAACGUUAUGCUACGAUAAGCACAUCCGGCAUGAUAUAGAGCCCACAUUCCCAUUUAGAUCCAUCCACGGACCUCAACCGAUUCUAAUCAUACCAUGCUUGGCUAAAUAGCCUCUCAAGGACCCAUAAUGACCUAUUCACGACAUAUAAGAACAUCCGUCAAAUUCGGAAUAAACUUCCACAUUCCACAACCAAAUAAACCGAGCGCCCUUCAGGCAUAAAUUCUCACAUUAGCGAUAGUACCACAAUCCCCAUACUUGGUUUUAAAUCUUUAUCCAAUCAAGUGACUACAUGUCACACUUAUACAAUAUUCCCGUGGGAUACACUCCCACGACCCUCCGUACCAGGUAAUAAGUCUGCACAUCCAUACCACCGGUUACACAAAUGUUGUAAAGCAAAUCAGUACACAAAGCCUCUUACACAGGACACCGAUCUCAGGUGACGCUAAAGACAAUACCAGCUUACUCUAAACAUCUGAAUUCUUCCCUGAUCAUCCAAGCUCGUGACAUUCUUGUCAAUACUGAACCGCGACCAUGAUCCUCAGCUUCCAAUUUCUCAUGCCGCUCACUGCACCUAACAUGCCAAUACGUGAGAGUACCCAAAUUCCAUAAUAACCCCGGACCCACUAAUAGGAUAAACACUUUUUCAUUUAGAAACCUUUUACUUAACUCAUUUCAGGAGAACCAUUGCAACACGUGACUGAAUUUACAUAACUGCAGAAAAUACAAACCUCAAGUAGUGGUCUAAACCACCAUAACUCUUCUGGGAUCCAUCUACACAUAACAGGCCACAAUACUCAAAUGCCUCCGAAUGAAAUCAAUUACAGUUGUCGUCAAGCCUCGCACGCACCGCCACAAACCACAUGUAGAACUUAACAAGCUGAAGGAACCGACCAUUGCCACCAUUAUGCUAAUUCAACCAUUGCUAACCGAUCCGACUUCUUCUAAUUUACUCUGGACUUGCCUUAGGAAUAAUAAUAGCUCCAUUCAAAACAUCAUGGAACCAAAUCCGCACUCACCCUGAGUGACCUUAUUCCACGAGACCACGUUGUCUCAAAACCCACGAACCAUCACAUACCCUCCUUGUGUGCAUAUUCACAUCUUCAACUGGUAUACCCAUUCUGAUAAUUUCUCUAUGAUUCCGAAGUUAUUUUUCUACCGUUCCUCCGAUGCUGCACCGCAAACUGUAGACAACAUAGAACAUUCCAAGUCCUUUUUUCCAUAAUCCGCUACCAAAACUCGAUACUCAGCCAUACUACGGACUCGAAAUCCUUAGGUACCACACUCUAACUUUUGAAUUCACUAGGACCGUUAUUGAGAGUCACCCACUCUGACUCGGUCCCAAAUAUAAUCAACUCCAAGGCCCUGCUGGUACAUGAACACCCUCUCGAAGAAGCAACCGUCUGAAUUCCUUUCCUUACACAUCACAUCCACAUGAAGCAUAGACUCUGAGUCUACCCAAGACAUGAACCUAAACCGAUAAGGCCAAAGAUAACACACAUUCCUCAAAUCCAUUGCCCAAGUUAUCACUGAUGUUUUCUUUCGUUAGUCGUAAUAACCCAUCAAUACACCGAUAACAAGAAAUCGCACAAGUUGACAACUACACAAUCCAAUCAUAGAUGGUGAGGCUCUCCCACUUAGCUUGAAGCUACAAUUACAUAACCCUGGGACCCGCCAAGGUCCAUUCUUCCCUAUUGACAUCAGCUAAAAGUCUAACAACGCAUUCCAAACACGAAGUCAUGUUGCAUCCAAAUAAAAUCCAUGGUCCUAGUCACUGCCCAUCACGAUUCCCAGAUUUCUCUAAGCUUCCCUCAAGGCAUGUGGCUAUUCUACCACGGAACCCAUAUGCUACUCUGCCACUCUCCCACUUUUGUCAAACCCUCCUCUUUUAAGCAAUACUCGACUUCUGUUUUCUUACACUUGGCCUUCUAGAAGUUUUACCACCGCAAGACACCUCCCACAUGUCCUUCCUCAUCCUUCACUUCCCAGUUAUUGUCUUAAAUCAAAAUUCAUCUCUGUAGCACCUGAACCAACAGAUCGCCGCCAACUCUAAACUUCCCCGAAGAUCAUCUUCCUUGAGCCAUCAACUUUAGGAUCACUGAUUCGAUUCUGAACCACAACACACUGCGACCUCUGACAGCCGCUGCCCCGGCGCCAUUUACAAUACUCUUCCCUAAAGGCGAAUUAAGAAAACCAUAACACCGGCAAACUUAACACAUUCAGCAAGAAAAAUGACACCACAUCACGGAUGAAGAUUCCACUACGCUCAAAAAUACCAAGUCUCGUUACUCCAUCAACCCCAAACCUGAACAUUCUUAGUCUGAUUGCCUUCCCUCCGCUGGAAAUAAAACACUGAGCAACUGAAUCAUGCACUGAGUAAAACCUCCUUUCAAGUUAUUCACUACCUCGACGUAUAGGUAAGCGUCCUACCAUUACACAAACAUUGUACGAUAGCAACACACGAAUUGUCAUAACAAUCAAAGCCAAAUCUAAAAACUUUAGAUAAUAAUGAUACUGAGCUGAAACGACAGAAUAGCCUUCCGCAAGGCCACGACUCUAGCCCAAUCAAAUACGUAGGGAGAAACAUCCUGCACCACAUCUGUAGUACCUUCCUCGAAUCCCAAUCUAUAACAAUCUUAUGCACUUCACGUCGCAUAAGAUUCAAUAGGAAAGAAAUAAAAGUACAAGCCUCAAAAGAAUCAAUUCGCGCGAUGAGGAAUCAAGAAGGGAAGUGCUCCUAUUGCCUUGUAGCCUCUCGAAGAUAAGUACAGGAGUCUCUGUACCGAUCCGCAAGACUCUACUAAACUCGCUCAUAACACAUGAGACCUAAGUGAACCUAGCGCUCUGAUACCAUGUUGUCACGACCCAAAAUCCGGUAAAGGUCGUGAUGGCGUCGGACGCCGCUGUCAGGUAAGCCAAAAAUAAAUACUUAAUUUGGUUCUCAUUUUUAAUAUUUUUGAAAUCAUAUUUUCCUUCGAUUAAAUAGUAAAAUAUGGAAUUCACAGUGUAAAUAAUAAUAUUCUUAACAAUUUCAAUACAAAACAACCCAUAAUCACCCCAAAAUCCGGUGUCACAAGUUCAUGAGCAUCAACUAGUAAUGUAAAAUAAAAUACAGCAUCUGUCCGGAAUAUAACUUUGGACGGGAGAAUAUAAAUACUCUAAAGGAGACUCUGUCGGUUGCGGGUUGUUAUAUGGAAUGCAGCUGAUGUAAGUCCCUGCAUGCAUACAUGCCUCGGCUCUCACAAGACCACUAGUCGCAUAUGUACCUACAGAAAAAUGUGCAGCAAGUGUAGUAUGAGUAUGAAAUCAAUGCGUACCCAGUAAGUAUCUAGCCUAACCCCGGAGAAGUAGUGACGAGGAGUCGACAUCGACACUUACUAGUGGUCCAAUAAUAUCAUUAACAGUAAAGAGGUAAGUAAACAUGAAGCAACGUAAACAAAUGAGAUAAACAAGUAUAGAUUAUGUGGUACAAAUACCCCUCUUUAUGAGGAAUUCGAGCUCUCCAUUUGGAAAUUUCCUGCUUAACCAGAGCAUAUAUAUGAAUAUAGUGGAUCUCAUCAGAUAGAUUUUCAUAACACAAAUCGGGAAAACUUACAGAUACUAUAGCUUCUUGCCAAAUAUUACGCACGAUUUCCAGGAGUUUAUGAUAUAGGAAAUGCCAAGGCGAACGGCCCGAUCUAACAUAAAAUUUAAAUUGUGCACUGCCGAGGGUCAAACGGCGCGAACCAUAGUUACAUCUAUUAAACUGUCGAGGCGAACGACCAGCUCCCAUGAGAGUGUGGUACAUAAGUCUUGCCGAGGUGAUCGGUCCGAUCCCAUAAGAGUGAAAUACAUAAUCCUGCCGAGGCGAAUGACCCGAUCCCAUAAGAGUAAGAAAUACAAAUCCUGCCGAGGCGAACAGCCCGAUCUCAUUAGAAUAAGGAGCUUUGACGGGUCCUUGACCCCACUCACGAAUAAACGUGUGAGUUGUAAUUUCUUUUACAAAAACUUUCAAUGAAUCAUAUAUAUCACGGAAGCAUUUCGUAAAAGGAGUAAAAUUAUUUAGUGACAAAUCAUGUACUUGUGAAGCCUCUACAAUAGCAAUUCUAGUCCCAGGUAGUACUGUAAAAAUAGAGGAAUUUAAUAGUAGAGAGACUGCUCAAAUAGUACAGCUAUAGCAUGAUGUGAACCUAAGCCUACCCGGAUAAUAACAUGAAUGUAACUACGUACGGGCUCUCGUCACCUCGCACGUACGUAGCCCCCACAACAAGUUGCACACAUCAAUAUGCAACACCUAGCGGUAAUUUCCCCCUCACAGAGUUUGACAGUAGACUUACCCCACUCCAAAAUUCCAUAAUCGGCUCCUAAGCCUCUCUAACANNNNNNNNNNNNNNNNNNNNNNNNNNNNNNNNNNNNNNNNNNNNNNNNNNNNNNNNNNNNNNNNNNNNNNNNNNNNNNNNNNNNNNNNNNNNNNNNNNNNNNNNNNNNNNNNNNNNNNNNNNNNNNNNNNNNNNNNNNNNNNNNNNNNNNNNNNNNNNNNNNNNNNNNNNNNNNNNNNNNNNNNNNNNNNNNNNNNNNNNNNNNNNNNNNNNNNNNNNNNNNNNNNNNNNNNNNNNNNNNNNNNNNNNNNNNNNNNNNNNNNNNNNNNNNNNNNNNNNNNNNNNNNNNNNNNNNNNNNNNNNNNNNNNNNNNNNNNNNNNNNNNNNNNNNNNNNNNNNNNNNNNNNNNNNNNNNNNNNNNNNNNNNNNNNNNNNNNNNNNNNNNNNNNNNNNNNNNNNNNNNNNNNNNNNNNNNNNNNNNNNNNNNNNNNNNNNNNNNNNNNNNNNNNNNNNNNNNNNNNNNNNNNNNNNNNNNNNNNNNNNNNNNNNNNNNNNNNNNNNNNNNNNNNNNNNNNNNNNNNNNNNNNNNNNNNNNNNNNNNNNNNNNNNNNNNNNNNNNNNNNNNNNNNNNNNNNNNNNNNNNNNNNNNNNNNNNNNNNNNNNNNNNNNNNNNNNNNNNNNNNNNNNNNNNNNNNNNNNNNNNNNNNNNNNNNNNNNNNNNNNNNNNNNNNNNNNNNNNNNNNNNNNNNNNNNNNNNNNNNNNNNNNNNNNNNNNNNNNNNNNNNNNNNNNNNNNNNNNNNNNNNNNNNNNNNNNNNNNNNNNNNNNNNNNNNNNNNNNNNNNNNNNNNNNNNNNNNNNNNNNNNNNNNNNNNNNNNNNNNNNNNNNNNNNNNNNNNNNNNNNNNNNNNNNNNNNNNNNNNNNNNNNNNNNNNNNNNNNAUAACAAUUUCCAACUCCGCUCGAAAAAUCGAUAAAGCAACCCUCGGGCCCACUUGCCCGGAUUCCGAAAAUUUUCGAAUACAAACACUACCCAUAACACUACGAAAUCAAAUAUAUAAUUUAUUCUCAAUUUCAUGCCCAAAUUCGUGAUCAAAAUCCAAGAAUAUCAAUUUCUAUGUUUUUCUUCAAAAUUCCAAAUUUCCACAAAUUUUCAAGUCUAAAUCCUUAUAUAAUCCAAGUAUUUAACUUGCAAUAGGUGGGAAUCACUUACCUUGUCAUAGAUGAUGAAAAUCUCCCUUCCAAGAGCUCCUAAUAUUGCCCAACCAAAUGAAAAAUGGGUGAAAUGAACCCAAACCCCGCUUUACAAACAUUCUGCCCAGCCCGAACUUCGCACCUGCGGUCAAAUAGCCGCUUCUACGGCUCCGCACCUGCGGAAAUUUGAUCGCAGGCGCGGCUCCAGCUCGGCCAAACAGUCCCGCAUAUGCGCUCCAUGUAGCGCAUUUGUGUGUCCGCUUCUGCAGUUUAUGCGUCGCACCUGCGCCCAUCGCCCGCUCCGGCGUUGCCGACUUCGCACAUGCGCCUUUGCAGGUGCGCCCAAAUGUUCCACACAUGCGGUUGCUGACCAGCCUCCUCUCCUUCGCACCUGUGACUCGUGGCUCGCACCUACGCGCUCUCACCUACGGCCCUUUUCACGCAGGUGCGAUUGCACAAGAUAUCAGUUACCUCAGCAUUUCAUCCAAGUUCAAAUUCGAUCCGUUAAUCAUCCGGAAUCCACCCGAGGCCCUUAGGACCUCAACCAAAUAUACCAACAAGUCCCAAAACACAUCACGAACUUAGUCAAGCCUUUAAAUAACAUCAAACAACGCUAAAAAUAUGAUUUAUCCUCUAAUUCAGACUUAGUGAACUUUCAAACUUCAACUUCUACAAUCGAUGCCGAAACCUAUCAAAUCACGUACGAUUGACCUAAAAUUUUGCACACAAGUCAUGAUCGACAUUAUGGACCUACUCCAACUUCUGGAAUCAAAAUCCGACCCCGAUAUCAAAAAUUCCAAUCCCGGUCAAACUUUCGCCCAAAUUGCCCAAAAAUGACCUACAGACCUCCUGAUACACUUCUGGAUGUGCUCCUAAGACCGGAAUCAUUAUACAGAGCUAUUCCCAGACUCGAAAUCCCAAAAGGAUGUCGAUAUCAUUGAAACACACUUCAACUUAAAUUUAUGGAAUCCUUCCAAAAUGCCAACUACCACAAUAGGCGCCAAAACGUUCCUGUGUCAUCCAAAACCCGAUCCGGACAUACGCCCAAGUCCAAAAUCAUCAUAUGAACCUGUUGGAACCUUCAAAUCCUGAUUCCGAGGUUGUCUACUCACAAAUCACACUUUAGUCAAUUCCUCCAACUUAAGGCUUCUGAAAUUAGAAUUUUCUUUCCAAAUCAAUUCUGAACUUCUCGAAAUUAAAUUUCGAUCAUGCGUACAAGUCAUAAUACCUGAAGUGAAGCUACUCAGUGCCUCAAACCGCUGAAUGACGCUCUAGAUCUCAAAACGAUUGGUCGGGUCGUUAUAUUCUCUCCCACUUAAACAUACGUUUGUCCGGGAACGUGCUAAGAACUGCCCCAGAGCUGACCAUAAUCAAUGUUUAACACAUCAUGCACCUACCUGUGCUACCACAACCCAGUUGAGAACAUUAGCUGGAGCAAACCUGAAUAUCCUUCCUUUUAUCUGGUCAAAUAACUUUAGAACAAAAUUCUAACAUCUGAAAUCCCCUUCCAUGUCUGUUUCCAAUAUACGAACGCCAUAGUAAUCACUACAUUAUGCACCAAUAUAUGUUAGCAUACCUUGAAUCCACACCAUGCACUGCAUAAUUCACAUGACCAUAAUAACAUUCCCUAAUAACAAAAGUCGAAAACCCACGAAUCUGAUGCUCACAACCCACCUCAUGACUCAUAUAAGUCCUGUUCCAACUCUUGCAAUNCUGCCACNNNNNNNNNNNNNUCUCGUCGCACACAGUACGAGCUGCUCAGGCAGUAAGCCACCUCAGACACUGCCAAAAGUACUCAUAUGAUGCCACAAUGUGCCAACAAGCUACAAACUCGAAGGUGAUACAUAAGGAAACAAACUCUGGAAAUAUCUACUCAACCCACGUAACUAAUUUAAACAACCAAAAAGAUGUUAUGAACCUUCCUCAGGAAACUAGAAGCAAAACACACAAUGAUAGAUAUGGGAAACUGUACUCGAUAACACACUAUUACGGCAUGCAACCCGGUCCACACAUGAUACCGUUGCGGCGUGCAACCCGAUCCAACCAUGAUACUCGUGGCGGCGUGCCACCCGAUCCAAACAACAUAUCUGUGGUGGCGUGCCACCCGAUCCAACCAUAUACUCGUAGCGGCGUGCCACCCGAUCCACAUAUAAUAAUCUAAAGAAAACACACAUCAAGCCGAAAUGCCUAUUCUCAUGAAAUGCCCGAAUACCAACCAUAAGCACGCCAAGUGCAUAAUAUAAACCCUGGGGAGACGGGUAGCGUCACGUUCUACAAAACUCAAGAACAACUAAGGUGCGAUAUAUGAUCUGCAUCUCGAGAGCCAUCCUGCUCACAUAAUACUACAAACCAUACGGGACCUCAAUACGAGUAUGAAUAAUCAAACCACCUCAUCACCACCUGGUAUAAUAUAGAUUACACGGAAUAGCUGACGACAGAAAUAACAUCCAAGGCUCGAAGACCCUUUUGAAACAACGCUAUGCUAAGAUAAGCACAUCCGGCCUGAUAUAUAGCCCACAUUCCCAUUUAGAUCCAUCCACGGACCUCAACCGAUUCUGAUCAUUCCAUGCUUGGCUAAAUAGCCUAUUAAGGACCCACAAUGACCUAUUCACGACAUAUAAGAACAAUUGUCAAAUCUGGAACAAACUUUCACAUUCCACAACCAAAUGAACUGAGCGCCCUUCAGGCAUCAAUUCUCACAUUAGCGAUAGUACCACAAUCCCCAUACUUGGUUUUAAAUCUUUAUCCAAUCAAGUGACUACAUGUCACACUUAUACAAUAUUCCCGUGGGAUACACUCCCACAACCCUCCGCACCAGGUAACAAGUCUGCACAUCCAUACCACCGGUCACACAAAUAUUGUAAAGCAAAUCAAGAAGCUGCAAAAUCAGUACACAGCCUCUUACACAGGACACCGAUCUCAGGUGAUGCUAAAGACAGUACUAGCUUACUCUAAACAUCUAAAUUCUUCCCUGAUCAUCCAAGCUCGUGACAUUCUUAUCAAUACCGAAACACGACCACGAUCCUCAGCUUCCAAUUUCCAAUGCCGCUCACUGCACCUAACAUGCAAAUAAGUAAGAGUACCAAAAUUCCAUAAUAAUCCCUGACCCACUAAUAGGAUGAACUCGCUCAUAACUCGUGAGACCUAAGUGAACCUAGCGCUCUGAUAACAUGUUGUCAUGACCCAAAAUCCAUUAAAGGUCGUGAUGGCACCGGACGCAGCUGUCAGGCAAGCCAAAAAUAAAUACUUAAUUUGGUUCUCAUUUUUAAUAUUUUUGAAAUAAUAUAUUCCUUCGAUUAAAUAGUAAAAGUUGGAAUUCACAGUGUAAAUAAUAAUAUUCUUAACAAUUUCAACACAGAACAACCCAUAAUCACCCCAAAACCCAGUGUCACAAGUGCAUGAGCAUCAACUAGGAAUGUAAAAUAAAAUACAACAUCUGUCUGGAAUACAACUUUGGACAAGAGAAUAUAAAUAAUCUGAAGGAGACUCUGCCAGCUGUGGGUCGUAAUAUGUAAUGCAGCUCACAUAAGUCUCUGCAUGCAUACAUGUCUCUGCUCUCACAAGACCACUAGUCACAUAUCUACCUGCACAAAAAUGUGCAACAAGUGUAGUAUGAGUAUGAAAUCAACGUGUACCCAGUAAGUAUCUAGCCUAUCCCUGGAGAAGUAAUGACGAGGAGUCGUCAUCGACACUUACUAGUGGUCCAAUAAUAUCAUUAACAGUAAAGAGGUAAGUAAACAUGAAGCAACGUAAAUAAAUGAGAUAAACAAGCAUAGAUUAUGUGGUACAAAUACCCCUCUUUACGAGGAAUUCAAGCUUUCCAUUUGGAAAUUUCCUCCUUAACCGGAGCAUAUAUAUGAAUGUAGUGGAUCUCAUCAGAUAGAUUUUCAUAACCCAAAUCGGGAAAACUUACAUAUACUAUGGCUUCUUGCCAAAUAUUACGCAUAAUUUUCAUGAGGAUAUGAUAUAGGAAAUGCCGAGGCGUACGGCCUGAUCCAACAUAAAAUUUAAAUUAUGCAUUGUCGAGGGUCGAACGGCGGAAACCAUAGUUACAUCUAUUAAACUGCCGAGACGAACGGCCUGCUCCCAUGAGAGUGUCGUACAUAAAUCCUGCCGAGGUGAUCGGUCUGAUCCCAUUAGAGUGAAAUACAUAAUCCUGCUGAGGCGAACGACCCGAUCCCAUAAGAGUAAGAAAUACAAAUUCUGUCGAGGCGAACGGCCCGAUCUCAUUAGAAUAAGGAGCUUUGACGGGUCCUUGACCCCACUCACGAAUAAACGUGUGAGUUGUAAUUUCUUUUACAAAAACUUUCAAUGAAUCAUAUAUAUCACGGAAGCAUUUCGUAAGAGGAGUAAAAUUAUUCGGUGACAAAUCAUGUACACGUGAAGCCUCUACAAUAGCAAUUCUAGUCCCAGGUAGUAAUGUAAAAAUAGAGAAUUUAAUAGUAGAGAGACUACUCAAAUAGUACAGCUAUAGCAUGAUGUGAACCUAAGCCUACCCGAGUAAUAAAAUGAAUGCAACUACGUAUGGGCUCUCGUCACCUCGCGUGUACGUAGCCCGCACAACAAGUAGCACAUGUCAAUAUGCAACACCUAGGGGUAAUUUCCCCCUCACAGAAUUACACAGGAGACUUACCUCGCUCCGAAAUUCCAUAACCAGCUCCAAAGCCUCUCUAACACCUCAAACUGAUGCUCGUCGCUCCAAACUAGUCAAUUAAGAUGCAACCCAAUCAAAAUGUAUUCUAAUACUCAUAAUUAAUCAAUUUAUAACAAUUUCCAACUCCGCUCGAAAAAUCGAUAAAGCAACCCUCGGGCCCACGUUCCCGAAUUCCGAAAGUUUUUGAAGACAAACACUACCCAUAGCACUACGAACUCAAAUAUAUAAUUUAUUCUCAAUUUUAUGCCCAAAUUCGUGAUGAAAACGCAAGAAUACCAAUUUCUAAGUUUUUCUUCAAAAUCCCAAAUUUUCACAAAUUUUCAAGUCUAAAUCCUUUUAUAAUCCAAGUAUUUAACUUGCAAUAGGUGAGAAUCACUUACCUUGACAUAGAUGACAAAACUCUCCCUUCCAAGAGCUCCAAAUAUCGCCCAACCAAAUGAAAAAUGGGUGAAAUGAACCCAAACCCCGCUUUAAAAACAUUCUGCCCAGCCCGACCUUCGCACCUGCGGUCAAAUAGCCACUUCUGCAGCUCCGCACCUGUGGAAAUUCCAUCGCAGGUGCGGCUCUAGCUCGGCCCAACAGUCCCGCAUUUGUGCUCCAUGUAGCGCAUCUGCCUGUCCGCUUCUGUGGUCUAUGUGUCGCACCUGCGCCCAGCGCCCGCUCCUGCGUUACCGACUUCGCACAUGCACCUUCGCAGGUGCACCUAAAUGUUCUGCACAUGGGAUUGCUGACCAGCCUCCUCUCCUUCGCACCUGCAACUCGUGGCUCGUACCUGCGAGCUCGCACUUGUGGCCCUUUUCACGCAGGUGUGAUUGCACCAGUUAUCAGCUGCCUCAGCAUUUCAUCUAAGUCCAAACUCGAUCCGUUAACCAUCCGGAAUCCACACGAGGCCCUCGGGACCUCAACCAAAUGUACCAACAUGUACCAAAACACAUCAUGAACUUAGUCAAGCCUUUAAUUCACAUCAAACAACGCUAAAAACACUCACCCUCCAAUUCAAACUUAUUGAACUUUGAAACUUCAACUUCUACAAUUGAUGCCGAAAACUAUCAAAUCACGUCCGAUUGACCUUAAAUUUUGCACACAAGUCAUGAUCGACAUUACGGACCUACUCCAACUUCCGGAAUCAGAAUCUGACCCCGAUAUCAAAAAGUCCACUCCCGGUCAAACUUCUUAAAAUUAUCCAAGUUUCCAACUUUUGCCCAAAUGGCCCAAAAUGACCUACGGACAUCCAAAUUCACUUCUGAAUACGCUCCUAAGACCGGUAUCGUCAUACAGAGCUAUUCCCAGACUCAGAAUCCCAAACGGACAUCAAUAUCAUUGAAAUCCUUCCAAAAUUCCAACUUCCACAAUAGGCGCCGAAACAUUCCCGGGUCAUCCAAAACCCAAUUCAGACAUACGCCCAAGUCAAAAAUCAUCAUACGAAACUAUUGAAACCAUCAAAUCUGGAUUUCUAGGUCGUCUACUCAAAAAUCGCACUUUAGUCAAUUCCUCCAACUUAAGGCUUCCGAAAUUAAAAUUUUCUUUCCAAAUCAACUCUGAACUUUUUGAAAUUAAAUUCCAACCACGCGUACAAGUCAUAAUACCUAAAGUGAAUCUGCUCAGGUCCUCAAACAAUUGAACGACUCGCUAGAGCUCAAAAUGACCGGUCGGUUCGUUACAGAUACUUUUGAUAUGUUUUUACUUGCCUUAAAUUUAUAUUUUAUUCGAGCUACCCAUAACUAAAAAGGGGAAUUGGAGAAUCUAAUGACUCCAAGACUAAAAGUUUGUACACCAUUAAGUGUUAUGCUUAGCGAUAGUUGUUUUCUAUCGUAGGUAAUGUGCGAGAAGCGAUUUGAAGAAGGCCUUUUGGAGUAGACUUUUCAGGAGCUUUUGUGGAGGUCACAUUUUCAUAUGCAUAUAGGUUUUGUAUAGUUUUGGGACUUGUACAUGAUCUAUAUGUCACACUUAUAUAUGUAAUUUUGGAGGCUUGUUGAAUCUUAAGACCAUAAGCUUGUAACUUGAAUUUGAUGACUUGUUUUGCUGUUUUAAGGCAUGUUAAUGACCCAAAUCUUGUAAUAUUCUAAAUUUACACAUUGUCUUGUAAAUAUGUACAAAGGAAAAGACUAGUUUUUCUUUUAUACUCGCUAGUUGAAAUUUAUGUACAAUGUGAACCUGCAGUGAUGUUGAAUGAAAAGUACAAUUUCGUUAGGAAGUUACUUUAACGUGUUGAUUAUUCAAGAAGGGUUGUAUCACAUUAUCUUGAUACUUUGACAUUGUAUUUCAUUUAAGAAAUUUUAUGAAGUGUAUUUUCAAAAUAAAAAAUAUUGCACUUUGAACAUUUAACGCAUGGGUCUAUUUCCACUACUAAAUUAUUAUGGAUGUCUUUUUAGAUUAAUAUCUUCUGAACAUUGUAAGUAGUAAAUUAGCUUUAUUUCAUAAGUAGCACCUUCCCAAAGGGGUUGCUACAUAGUUUGGUAUAGAGCUUUAGGUUUGUGAUUCUAGGACUAUUAUGUUGAAUUGUUAGAGUACUUGUUUCUUUUAACAUGCUUCAUUGUGUGUAGUGUGCAUAUGCAUCAUGUACAUAUCCCUAAUGCAAUGUGAUCUCCCUUAUAUAGGAAUUAAGUUAUGGCCUCUUCUUCUGAUAGACCUAUGGAAGCCGCUCGUGAGGGCUAAGAUAACUCUUAUGCCCAACCUCAUUUACAAGAAGGGUUGGAGAACAUUUCUCUUAUCUUAAUUUUCCUCCUACUAGUGGAUCUGAAGUGGGAAAUAAUCAGGGUGCAAGAGCUGGGCCACAUCCUCAUAUAAGUCAUAGUACUCCUAUUGUUGAUCCUCAUUUUCAGCAAAUGGCCGAUUACUUUCGUCACUUGGCUGGAACAAUGUAUGACCCUAAUGAAAUGAACUUUGACAAAAUGAGAAAAAUGGGUGGAGUUGAUUUUGAAGGAAAUGCUGCCAAAUUUAAGUAUGCCAUCUCACUGUUACAACGGGAUGCUUAUGAAUGGUAGGUAAGUGUACCCAAUGCCAAAGAAAAACCUCUGGUGCUUACUUGGGAUGAUUUCGUCAAAGAAUUCCGCAUGAAGUAUGUCCCACCUGCUUAUUGUGAAGCAAAGAAAAAGGAAUUUCUGUAUUUAAAGCAAAGGAGUAUGUCCAUUACUGAAUAUCAACAAAAGUUUCUCAGGCUUUCUCGUUAUGUUGUAGGUAUUAUCGAUAAUGAAAAAGAUAAGUGCAGGAGAUUCAAAGAUGGUUUGAAGAUUAUAUCCGAAAGUCUGUGGCGGUCCUACAACAUUAAAAAUUUUCCAAACUAGAUACAGCUUCUCUUACUUGGGAAAGAAUUGACAAGGAACAAGCUAGUAUAAAUGAAAAUAGGUUUAGAAAAGCUAAUUUAAAUUAUGGCGGUCCAUCCAAAGGGGGAAGUUUGACAAUUCAAAGGUUGGUAGUGUUCCCAGGUCAGCUCAACGUAAUCAAAAUAGAUCAGAUAUUUCUAUUGGUAGAACUCCAGAUUAUGGCCAAGGCAAGACUCGUAUAUCCACUUGUGCACAAUGUGGGAAGAAUCUCUAUGGUACUUGUAGGAGAGCUUCUGGUGCUUGUUUUAAUAGUGGGAGCUUCGAUCACAAAGUGAAGGAUUGUCCUAAUCCUAACCCUAUUUCUUUUCGCGUACUGAAGGUUCAAUUCAGAAACCUACUACCACUCCUUCUCAAGGGAAAAGAGGUGCAAGAUCUAGAAACACCCAAACAACAAGUGUGGGUCGAGCUAAUCAAGACAGUAGGCCAAGAUCUACAAGAUGAGCUUAUGCUAUGAGACAAAGGGAUGACCAAGAUAGGGCAAAAGUGGUUGUUGAUAAAUUUCACUUAUUUGAUUUAUGUGUUGUUACACUAUUUGAUCCUGGUUCUACACAUUCCUAUGUUUGCUCAUCACUUGUUUUUUCUCAAAAUAUGAAAUCUGCGAGACUUGAUUGUGGUGUGUUUGUCAAAAGUCCUUUGGGUCAUCAGGUUGUUUGUAAUCAGAUUUAUCGAGGUUGUCCAUUCGUGAUUUAAAAUCUAGUCUUCCCUGGUGAUUUGAUUGAAAUGUCUUUCCAAGACUAUGAUGUCAUCAUCGGUAUGGAUUGGCUUCAUAGAUACCAUGCAUUAAUUGAUUGUAAUUCAAAGCGUGUGACCUUUAAAGCUCUUACAUUUUCACACAUUGUUAUUCAAGGUGAAAGAUCAUUAACAUCUAAUAUUAUCUCUGCGGUUGUGGCAAGAAAGAUGAUUCGUCGGGGUUGUGAAGCUUAUCUUGAUCAUGCAGUUGAUACACACCAAGAAAGUCCAAGCUUUAAAAAUAUACCAGUUGUAUGUGACUUUCUUGAUGUUUUUUCCUGAAAAUCUUCAUGUGUUGCCCCCGGAAAGGGAAGUUGAAUUUCCUUUAGAGAUUAUUCCUAGAACUACUCCUAUUUUUAUAACUCCUUACUGAAUGGCUCCAGUGAAAUGAAGGAGUUGAAAAUUCAAUUGCAAGCACUUUUUGAGAAUUGUCUUAUUUGCCCAAGUGUUUCUCCUUGGAGAGCUCCUAUUCUAUUUGUGAAAAAGAAAGAUGGUACUAUUUGGCUUUGUAUUGAUUACUGGAAACUGAGCAAGGUAACAGUUAAAAAUAGAUAUCCAUUGCCCACGAUCGAUGAUUUAUUUGACCAGCUAAAGGGCCAGGUUGUUCUCAAAAAUUGACUUGAGGUCUGGGUAUUACCAAGUACGAGUAAGUGAGCAAGAUGUUCCUAAAAUUGCUUUGAGGACUCAAUAUGGUCAUUAUGAAUUUUUGGUGAUUCCAUUUGAGUUGACAAAUUCUCCUGCGGUGUUCAUAGAUCUAAUUAAUCGUGUAUUCAAGCCUUAUCUUGAUCAAUUUAUGGUGGUAGUUAUUGAUGAUAUUUUAGUAUAAUCCAAGAAUAGUGAAGAUCAUGAUAAACAUCAAGGGGUGGGCGUUCGGUCGGUUCGGUUCAGUUUGAAGAAAUUCGGUUCGGUUAUUUGGUUUUCGAUUUUGUAAAAGUAGUAACCGAAAUCAAACUAAAAUAAUUUAGGUUCAGUUCGGUUUUCUAAUUUUGGUUCGGUUUAUUUCUAAUCGGUUUUCGGUUUGAACAUUAUUAUAUUUGAAUCUCUCUAUGUAAUAAUUGGACUGACGAAUUUGUUGGGUUUUUUUCAAAAUUUCGAUAAGUUAGAAUAAAAUGGUAAGUUUGGAUUGGGUCUUUGAUGGACUUCAAAAUUGGGCCUAUAUUAUUACCUAUGGGCUUAGCCUAUAUAUAACUUAAAGAAUCUAUAUGCUAAUAAUUCGGUUUUUCGGUUAACCGAAACAAAUAAAUUAAUAACCGAAAACCGAACCAAAAAACUGAAAUUUUAAAAUUUUAAACUGAAACCGACCGAAAAAAUCGAAUAACCGAAACUGAAAUAAAAAUAUUUUCCGUUCUGUCGGUUUCUUCGGUUCGGACCGAAAUAUGCCCACCCCUAUAAACAUCUCCGGAUUGUUUUGCAAAUUUGGAGAAAAAUCUUCUAUUCCAAGCUUUCCAAAUGUGAAUUUUGGCUAAGUGAAGUUGCUUUUAUGGGGAAUGUUGUGUCAGCAAAAGGUGUGAAAGUUGAUCCUAGUAAGAUUCGAGCUAUUAUUGAAUGGAAACUGCCUAAAAGUCCAACUGAAAUAAGAAGUUUUUUGGGCUUAGCGGGAUACUAUAGAAGGUGUGUCAAAUGCUUCUCCAUUAUAUCCUCUCCUUUGACUAAACUUUUGAGGAAGGACGUCAAGUUCGUGUGGGAUCAAGAGAGCUUUGAAAAGCUCAAAUCGUUAUUGACUAAAGCUCCUAUAAUUACUCUACCUACUGUAGGGAAAGAGUAUGUGAUAUAUAGUGAUGCUUAUCAUCAUGGCUUGGGUUGUGUUCUGAUACAAGAAGGAAAAGUGGUUGUGUAUGCCUCUCGAAAACUGAAACCACAUGAGUUGAUUUAUCCUACUCACGACCUUGAGCUUGUUUCCAUAGUGUUUGCUUUGAAAAUUUGGAGACAUUACUUGUAUGGAAAAAGUAUCAUAUAUUCCCUGAUCACAAGAGUUUGAAGUACUUGGGUACACAGAAAGAGUUACAUUUGAGACAGCGUAGAUGGCUUGAGCUUAUCAAAGAUUAUGACUGCACAAUUGACUAUCAUCCAGGUAAAGCCAAUGUUAUUGCCGAUGCUCUAAGUCGCAAAUCUUUUGCCGAUUUAUCUCUAAGUACUUUGCCUUUGUUUCUUGAACUAAGAGCCAUGAAGGCUUGUCUUGCAUUUAAAGCUGAUGGUUCUAUUCUUGCAAGUUUGCAAGUCAAGCGAGUUCUAUUUGAACAGGUAAAAGAAGCACAGAAAUUGGAUGAGAAGCUUGUGAAACUGAUCAAAGAAGUUUGAAAUGGAGAAAAGCUUGAUUUUAAUUUGAGGGAAGAUGGUGUCCUAUUUUAUCAAAAUAGGUUAUGUGUUCCUAAGGAUGACAAAUUGAGGAAAGAAAUUCUAAGUGAAGCACAUACUUCACCAUAUGCAAUGCAUCUUGGAGGCACUAAAAUGCACCAAACCAUCAAAGUACACUACUGGUGGAAUGGUAUGAAGAAAGACAUUAUAGAGUUUAUCUCUAAAUGCUUGAUUUGUAAAAAAUAUAAAGGCUGAGCAUCAAGUCCCUGCUUGUUUGCUACAACCCUUGUCCAUACAUGAGUGGAAAAGGGAGAGAAUAACGAUGGACUUUGUUUCUGCGCUUCCACGCAAUUCAAAGAAAUCGUGAUGCAAUUUGGGUUAUAGUUGAUAGGCUAACCAAUAAUGCUCAUUUCUUGGCAAUCAGAGUGAACUAAACACUUGAACGUUUAGCAGAAUUGUACGUUAAUGAGAUUGUGAGGUUGCAUGGGGUUCCUGUUCUAUUGUAUCUAACUGAGACCCGAGGUUUACAUCCAGAUUUUGGACUACCUUGCAAGAAGCUUUGGGUACUAGGUUGAAUUUUUGUACUUCUUUCCAUCCUCAUAUAGACGGUCAGUCCGAGAGGGUAAUACAUAUUGGUCAAUCCGAGAGCAUCAAGUCUUUCCAUCGCUUAAACAUUGCUUCAGAUAGACAAAAGUCUUAUGUUGAUAUUAAGAGGCGUGAAAUUGAGCAUCAAGUCAGGGAAAAGGCAUUUUUAAAGGUUUCUCCAUGGAAGAAGAUUAUGAGAUUUGGUCAAAAAGUGAAACUUAGUCCUCGAUUUAUUAGACCUUAUGAAGUGCUGGAGAAAGUUGGACUAGUUGCAUAUAAACUAGCUCUUCCACCAGAGUUAGACAAGAUCCACAAUGUCUUCCCAUGUUUUUAUUCUUAGAAGAUACAGCUCAGAUCCAUCUUAUGACCUUCCUGUUGAAUCUAUUGAGGCCAAUCAUGAUUUGACAUAUGAAGAAGAACCAGUCCAAAUCUUAGCACAUGAGAUAAAAUAGCUUAGAAAUAAGAGGAUCCCCUUUAUGAAAAUCCUUUCGAGAAAUCAUUCUGGCAAGGAAGCUACUUGGGUGCGAAAAGAGGAUAUGCGAGUUCGAUAUCCACAUUUGUUGCGCGACUAGUAUACGGUAAAUUUCGGGACAAAAUUUAUUUAAGGGGAAUAGAGUUGUAACAGCCCCAAAGUUUUUUAGACUAAUAUUUGCAUUCUCAAUUGACCAUCUAUCUAUAUAAUAAGGAUAGAUUUUACUUUGCACUUCCUAAACUAGAAUUUGACGAUAUUUGAAAUUGCUUAUUUUAUAUUGUGGUCAUAUUUAUAAGGAGUUGACAUGAUUUUUUAUGUAGAACACCCUUGUUAUCAUUUUUGUUAAAUUAGCAAGAAAUAGAAUAGGAAACAAGUAUUUUGGUCCAACCCAAAUCUUGAUCCUUAUCUAAGUAAUAUAUAUCUCUUUUGGACAACUUUUCAUAAACACCUCCCAUUUCAUUCAUUCAUCACAAAGAAAACCCCAAUCCUCUAUCCUUAUUAUCUUUAGAAAUAUUACACCAAAACCUCUAGGUUCUUCAACUAAGCUAACAAUCAAGUAUUGUUCUUGUUAAACUACAAGUUGCUCCUCUCUUUUGUAUUAAUGUACUAAACCUGUUUUUUAUACUAGACAGCUGAUAGUUUUUCAUUAUAUCUCCUUGUAUAGAACUUUGUCUUAAGUGAGACAAACUUUUCUGGAAAGCUAUUCCAUAGAUAUAUAACUUUUGUUCAUUCUCCAAAACUUGGUUUUGCAUGUAUUUACCCAAAAAAUAGUGAUAAAAUACAGGGCAUGUGCUGCCCAGAUUUUCUGUUUUACAAACCGUGCAUGUACUACUGUUAGUAUUUUGAGCAUAACGCUUUGUACAAAAUGGAUAUAGGGGUGAUUCAAGACUCUUUGGAACCCUAAGAAAUAUAUCUACAAAUAUAUGGAAGUCAUAAACUUUAAUUUGUCCGUUUACAUCUUCAAACCUUAGCCACAACAUAAGACAAUGAUAUUGUCACGACCCCAAAUUCCCACUUUAGGAAGUCGUGAUGGCACCUAAUCUCUAAGACUAGGUAAGCAUAACAUACAUUGAGAAUUAGCAGAAAUAACAACCUAGAUAUCAAAUUAAACUGUAAGACUAUUAUGGUAAAUCCCAAACAGUACAACUAUCAAAUAUCUCCCAAAAUCGGUAAAACGGAGUCAUAAGAUCUAAGAAGUAUAGUAGAAGUCUCAGAAUACAACACUGUUUGAUGCGAAAAUAAAUAGUAGAAAGGGCAGUGGUAGAAGGUGACUCUGAGGCGUGCGAGUGUCAAGUAGGUAUACUUUGAAGUCUCCGGAAUAGCUAGUCCAAAUCAUUGGCGUCUGACACGAGCAGAAGUACCUGGAUCUGCACAAAAAUAUGCAUAAUAGUACCAUGAGUACACCACAACAGUACCCAGUAAGUAUCAAGCCUAACCUCGGUAGAGUAACGACGUCAAGGCCCCAAUUUCCCACCUUAGGAUGUCGUGAUGGAAUCUAGUCUCUAAGACUAGGUAAGCCUAACACAUGCUAAUUUAAUAAUAUAAUUUAACUAUUUAAUCAUUUAUCAUAACCAUUAAAUGACAUGCAUAGCCGCAAGAAGCCAAUAGUUAUACAUUUUCGAAAAUCGGUAGUACCGAGUCAUAAGCACUACUAAAACACGCUAGAAUCUCUAAACACAAUAAUAUUUUGAAUUGCAAAUUAACAGUAGCAUAAUGAAGUAAGAUGGUGACUCCGAAGCCUAUGAACGUCAAGCAGGUAUACCUUGAAGUCUCCCACUGUGCAGACGCAACUCUCAACAAUACAAUCAGAAUACCUUGAUGUGCACAAAAAUAUGCAGAAGCAUAGCAUGAGUACACCAUAACGGUAUCCAGUAAGUAUCAAGCCUAACCUCGGUAGAGUAGUGACAAGGCCAGGUCAAGACAUCUACUAGCCAUAGAAACCUGUUCAAGAUAUACAUAAGCUAACAAUGGAAAGAACAUCAAUGUAAGACCAACGGCGAAAAAAUUAUUAAUUUACAACCAACAAUGAAGUAAUAGAAACAUAAAUGACAGCAAGUAGUAAAUGAGUAAUAAAGAAAUAAUAUAAUCAGAACACCGAUGAGAUGUAAAUGAACUCAAAUAAGGAAAAUUGAUUGACAACUCAAAUAAUCAAAUCGCUCCCAACACAUGGACUUACAACAAGAAUUGCCCCGAGGCACCACACCUCAAAUGAAAUAAUGAGUUUGUUUUAGAAAUCAAGUAAAGUAAAAUAAUAUAUAAUUUGUACGAAACAGAGUAUAAGAUGGGUUUAGUUUAGAAAUCAAUAAAAUUGAGUAAAACUAUUAUUUUAACAAAACAAAACAUAAGUUAAAUUAACGAAUUAAAUAUAGAAUUUGUUACGGAAAAACAUAAUAACAAUUUUAAGUAAGGUAAACAUCUAACUCGGUGAUUAGUAUAAUUUGAGAACCCAAUUAUAGUGAAAGUGCGAUAACCAUUUAGAAUAAUAAGGCACCUAGUGAGAUAACGAGUUCUAUCUUAAGAGGCACAUAGAAUAAAACGUGUUAAUAAUUCUUUUAUUUAAACCGUUAUGUUACCAACAACUUAACAGAAUAUAAUAUAGUGACUCCGCGCAAUUAAAUUCACAUUGACAAUCAAUUCACCAAGUUAUAACGGAGGCACAGAUUGGCAUGUUAAAGCAACACAACAAAUCACGUAGAAUGCAUGACUCACACAAGAAACCACAAUUGUUCCAACACCAAGAUAACAUCAAAUAACCAAACACAAUCAAAAUGCGGAUGAAUGAUUGAAGAAAGAACAAUGACCGUUCAAAUCAACAAGUUGUUACAACAUGGAAUGUACAAUAAAAAUCACAACUGAGGUACCGCCUCAUGUUCACAUUUUUCAAUUUUAAUCAUAAUCUUUCCUUAUAUCACCGCGUGAGUCUUACAUUUCGUUUUAAAAAUUAUUUUUCUCGAUUUAGCUACACGCAUUUUAGCCCACCUUAUCUCACUGUGUGGCUUCAAGUAGUUUCCCUACUAGCAACACGCGUAUCAAGCUCACCUUAUCUCACCUCAUGCGUAUCAACCCAUAGCCUUAUAUCACCGCAUGCGUAUCAAUAUCAACAAAAUCACCACUUGCACCACAAGUGCCCAUAUGUCACAACUUGCCACAAAGUCAACAACACCAAUAUUUCCAUAAUAAAUAACUCAUGGCUCAACCACAAUGUGUACAAGAAUUUUAACAAUAACAAAAUGAAUGGGAAUGCUCAACUAGGAAAGGUAUCUCAACAAUUAACAACUUCGCCUCAAUGUGAUAACGGCUAUUACAACUUCAAUACCAAUAACUCAACAAGAUGAUAUUCCACGAAAUAACAACUUCAAUUAAAAGUGAUUCAACAAUUAAGAGGUAACAAGACAAUAAGGAAGGCAAUAACUUCAACUAAAGCAUAUAAGAGCAAAAUAACAAGUAAGAGGUAGAACAAGUUCUAACAACGUCAAAUAGAGCAUAUAAGAGUAGAUUAACAACGAGAGAUAUAACAUGUUAUGACAAUUCAAUUAAAGGCAUGGAAAGAGUUUAGAUAAUCUAAACCGGUCAAAUACCACAUAUAGCCCAUGUACCCACUGUCACCUUGCGUACACGGCUUUCACAUAAAACAAAUAGCACAAUCAACCCAAAUUUUAAGGGGUAUAUUCCCCUACACAAAACUAGGCAAGAUACUUACCUCAACUAGCCAACUCAACCCUCCAAAAGAACUUAUCCCCUAAAAUUUGCCUCCACACGGCUCAAAUCUAACUAAAAAUGACUUAAUAACAUCAAACAAAGCAAGAGAAAUCAGGUAUAAUAAAUAAAGAUAUGAUAUUUAUAUAUUUUCCCAAAAAGUCAACAAAAGUUAAUGUCGGGCCCUCUUUGGAUUCCGAAUCCAAGCUUACCCGAGCGAAGCCCGAACCAAUACAAGCUCACACAAAAAGAAAACUAACUCAAUCGGUGUCCGAUAGCUCAACAAAUUCGCCAAAAUGUCGCUCUUGGAUGUUCAUAACCCAAGAGUCCAACCCACAUUAGUUGGGUCCCAUAUCUCUCGAAAUACUCCUCCAAAACUCACCAAAUUCGAGUAUGUUGUUCUCCUAAUAUAUGAGAACAAGACCCCGAAAAGAAUUGUGAAAUAAACCUCUAACUCAUUUACAAUUUUUAAAAUUUAGGACAUAACCCUAUAUCUUAAUUUAAAGAAUUAUGCGGGUUUUCAAUUAAAAUCACGGAUAAAAGCUUAAACUCAGGGAAUGAAUCAAAGGGAAAUACUUAGGUUAUGGUUUAGACCUUACCCCAUGGAAGAAACUUGAAGAACAUCUUUGAAUUCUCUCAAUCCCAAACUUUCAAGAUGAGAAAAACUCCAAUAACAUUAAUAGCCAAAAACGUCUAGUUGUUCUACCUCGUUUCUUAUGCCAAACGAUCCUGAAACACGCUUUUGAUGCAUCCAAUGGAUUUUUCGUAAAAUUCCAGUUAAGUUAGGCUUUUGAAUAACUCUAUUUGACCUUAUAAUGAAGGAGAUAUAUUGGUUUCAAUAUUUGGAAUAGUGCGGAUUUUUAAAUACGAAUUCAGUGGCAAUUUCAUAAUUAGUCUGAAAAAUCUCACAACCCAAUUCUUAGUAAAAUUAACAUAAAUUCCUCAUACGAUAUUAAAACUUGAUGAUUUCAGGUACUAUGGUUCCAAAAUUAUGAUACGGAUAUAAUGGUUUAGUCGAAACACGAAUCAAAGGCCAUUUGCUCAAUAGGGUAACUUUUAUGCUCAAAUCGACGUUGAAACCGAAAACUUUUAGCAUACAACCCAAACUUAUCCAAAACUCAUCGGAAUUUAACCAAACAUUGUGGAUAUGUCCAAAAUAAUCAUAAAAACUUAUUGGAAUAAUUAAAACAUGAUUCCGAGUCCGUUUACCCAAAAGUCAAACAUUGGUCAACUCCUCCAACUUAAAUUUUCUAACACGAGAAUCAUUCUUCCAAAUCAAUCCUAAACCGCUCGAAAACCAAAACCAACCAUACACGCAAGUCAUAAUACAUAAUAUGAAUCUACUCAAAGUCUCAAACCACCGAAUGGAACGCUAAAGCUCAAAACGACCAGUCGGGUCGUUACAUUCUCCCCCCAAUUAAACAUAUGUUCGUCCUCGAACGUGCCAAGAGUCAUUCCAAAGCCAUCAAAUCGCCAUAUAACCUCACCAUACACAUAACCAUGGGUGAUCCCACAUCACCCCAACUCAUAGAAGCCCGACAACACUUCCUAACAGAGGAUCAUUACUUUAACCUUAGUCCAUACACCUUAAAACCCAAAUCCCAAUAUCCGGAACGCAUUAUAUGACCCGAUUCUUGCAUGUAUACACAGUAUAACUAUGAACAAACUGUAUCAAUCCAUAACCAUAUCUCAAGACAUAAUCACAUAAUAUACCACAUAGCUCAAAUACUCAUAGUAUUAACUUUCGACCAUAAUAGUUGCUCGAUAACCAACCCGACACUGGUAACAAACCUCAUAUUAACUAAAACCUUGUGUUGACCCUUCGUACACUGCCAAUGAUGAAAGCAACAUACAAAAACUCAUAACCACCCAUCAGGUUAACAAGUGACACAAUUCUUGCAAACAUACCUUAAUCAAAUCUGAUGGCACUCAUUUCAGGACCAAUAACCUCACCUCAUCCAGUACAAGCUACUCGACUGACCUAUCACACAAAUCCUACUUAGAGCCACAUACCAUGCAAUCCGUGCACCGACGAACAAUAACUCAAAUAUACCCAAUGAUGGAAAGAGAAUGAAAAUGAAGAAACCAUCCCGCCAGCUCAACAGACACCACCACCAAGCGCAAUGCUAUCAAUCCACCACACAAGGGAAAACAUAACACAUGAAAUAAGCAUAAAGGAUAAAAUCCUAGCAUAACGUCGUUGCGGUGCAUGACCCAAUCCGAUAUCGGUCCACCUGGAAUACGUCAAGCCAUGAUACUCACAAUCAACAACCAUAAGCAUAUCAACAUCAAACACACGAAGUGCGUGACCAUAACUAUGGAGAUAUGGAUAUCACUAUAUACCAGAAACAGAAAGACCAUAACCUAGGCACAAUCAACCAUUCAACACCCCAAGAUCAAUCUCGCUCGAAUUUCGCUACAAAGCCCAAAUAUAACCGCAUAGGUGUGCAGAUAACCAACAGAUCGCAACCCAUCGCAGCAUAGGAGAGUAACAUAUGAGACAUAUCAGAAUAGAAUGUGAUCCACCCUAAACGAUAACAUACCCCUCUACAAUAAUUGUGCUGAGUAGAUAAAUCUAACACGAUUACACGCAUCCUUAUUAGACCUACUAGUAGUCUCCAAAUCAAUUCUGAUCCUUCUGAAGUAGGUAGAUAGCCUCCGAAAAUCCCACAAUAACAUAUAUAUAGUACAUACCAUCAGCUACCAACCUUUUAACAUACCUUCACCCGUUCAUAACCAUGGAACAAUCUGCCUCGAGAACCCCCUUAGUCUUUAAAUCCCUAAAAUACUAGAAUCUCCAUAUCCGAUCACAACUAUACUACUCAAAUAACUGAUACAUUCCUCACAUACGGUCAGCCCACGAGAAGUACUUCUAUAAUACUUUCGUUCCACAAAGCAAAAUCUGGACAUUAGUAGUCGAUCAACAAGGCGAUUACUGUAAUACUAGUCAGGCAUCCGCAAGUCGAAACACAGUACGCCUUCUGGAGUGCGCACCCUUCUUAGGCGGUAUCAAAUAAUGCUAGCAUUCUGCUAAACAUCUAAAAUCGUCUAUUAUGUCUAGAACUCGUGACCCCAUCCAAAACAAAAAUCAUAACACGCAACACAUUCCUUAUGCCGGUAGCAGACAUCUAGCUCAAGAUGUGGUCGAAACUAUCAAGAACUCUUCGAGGCCAGUCCACACAUCACCAAGUCAUCAAAACUGAACUUUCUCAACGCAACCAAGUGACCCAAUCCAUCAAACAUAAGAGUAUUGCCACAGAACGCUGGUGAAGCAUUACCACACCAAAAGACAAGUUACCUUUGUUGCUAUUUUGACCCAACACCACCAAGCUGACCCAUUUCUUCUAAUCCUCAUCGACUUGUAUUCUGGUCAACACUUUUCCUUAUCGAUACAUAAUGAUCCUAAGUCAAAGCUCGCUGCGAAAGACCCUAGCACGAACCACGUCGUCCGAAAACCCUUAAACUGUUGUAUUUCCCCCGGAGCACCCAAAGAUGAUGCAACCGAGAUACCCACUCUGAAGAGAGCUUCUGUGAAUCUGAAGAUAUUUCUCUAACCUCUCUGCUAUUGGAAUGUAGAUUUAGCAAUGAUACAGAUAUACCGCAAGUUCCAGCACCAUCCCAUGGAAAUCUCAGAUCUUAGUCAUGUACAAUUCUGGGGAACCCAUCAACACUACAUAUAUACCUCAGACCCAAGACUGAUAUGACACUUGCCCAUGCAAUCUGAUUGUCGAUAGUAGACUCCCUCACUUAGUGCGGAGUCAUAGGGCAAAACAUCCGAUGAUCCACAUUAUCAACCUUCAUAAGCUCGUACAACACCAAUCAGAUACACGAACCAGUUGCAUCCCACACUUGAACAACUAAAGAUCUACCAACACAUCUGUGUCCUUAGUAUGGACAAUACCUUGAGACAAUGACCGAGCAUCUAUGGCCUCCUCAUAGCCCAUCCAUAGCAUUACAAACCGUCGGAGCAUAGCUUAUACCGAGCGUGUAACAUCAUAUACGAGUGAAAGUAAAGGGAUAUAAGAUAUAUGCUUUAAGCUGAAUCAAUGUCGCACGAUAAGGAAUGAAAGGAGUGGUUCUUAAUAGUUCUGUAGCCUCUCGAAGAUAAGUACAGACCUCUCCAUGCCAAUCCGCAAGAUUCUACUAAACUUUCUUAUGACUCGUAGCACUUAUGAACUUAGAGCUCUGAUACCAACUUGUCAUGGUCCCAAUUCCCCACCUUAGAAUGUCGUGAUGACACCUAGUCUUUAAGACUAGGUAAGCCUAACACAUGCUGAUUUAAUAAUAAAAUUGAACUAUUUAAUCAUUUAUUAUAACUAUUAAAUGGCAUACAUAGCCACAAGCAGCCAAAAGUUAUACACUUCUCAAAACCGAUAGUACGGAGUCAUAAGCACUACUAAAACACACUAGAAUUUCUAAACACAAUACUAUUUUGAAUUGCAAUUUAACAGUAGCAUAAUGAAGUAAGAUGGUGACUCUGAGGCCUGCGAACGUCAAGCAGGUAUACCUUAAAGUCUCCCAUUACGCAGGAGCAACUCUCAACAACACAAUCAGAAUACUUGGAUCUGCACAAAAAUGUGCAGAAGCGUAGCAUGAGUACACCACAACGGUACCCAGUAAGUAUCAAGCCUAACCUCGGUAGAGUAGUGACGAGGACAGGUCAAGAUACCUACUAGACACAGAAACUUGUUCAAGAUAUACAUAAGCUAAUAAUAGAAACAAUAUCAAUGUAAGACCAACGGCGAAAAACUUAUUGAUAUACAACCAACAAUGAAGUAAUAGAAACAUAAACGGUAGCAAGUAGUAAAUGAGUAAUAAAGAAACAAUAUAAUCAGAACACCGAUGAGAUGUAAAAGAACUCAAAUAAGGAAAAACGGAUGACAAAUCAAAUAAUCAAAUCGCUCCCAACGCAUGGAAUUACAACAAGAAUUGCCCCGAGGCAGCACACCUCAUAAACCACAAGUCAUGUACCACAAUUUCCAAAUCUUACACAUAUGGCACCUCGUGCCCACAAUAACAAUCACCUUCGCACGGCAAAGCCCACGUGCUACCAUGUAGUUUGUAACCGCGAUAAAUAUUAAUUUAGAUGAACGAAAGAUAUAUUUAAACAUCAUAAAACAUAGUAACAAUCUUGAAUAUAGUAAGGUGUCAAAUGAAAUAAUGAGUAUAUUUUAGAAAUCUAAUAAAGUAAAAUAAUAUACAAUUUGUACGAAACAGAGUAUAAGAUGGAUUUAGUUUAGAAAUCAAUAAAAUUGAGUAAAAGUAUCAUUUUUAAACAAAACAAAAAAUAAGUUAAAUUAACGAAUUAACUAUAGAAUUUGUUAAGGAAAUCAUGAUAACAAUUUUAAGUAAGGUAAACAUCUAACAGGGUGAUGAGUAUAAUUUGAGAACCCAAUUAUAGUGAAAGUGUGAUAACCAUUUUGAAUAAUAAGGCACCGAGUGAGAUAACGAGUUCUAUCUUAAGAGGCACAUAGAAUAAAGCAUGUUAAUAAUUCUUUUAUUUAAACCAUAUGUUACCAACAACUCCACAAAAUNNNNNNNNNNNNNNNNNNNNNNNNNGAGUUCUAUCUUAAGAGGCACAUAGAAUAAAGCAUGUUAAUAAUUCUUUUAUUUAAACCAUUAUGUUACCAACAACUCCACAAAAUAUGAUAUAGUGACUCCACGCAAUUCACAUUGACAAUCAAUUAACCAAGUUAUAAUGGAGGCAUAGAUUGGCAUGUUAAAGCAACACAACAAAUCACAUAGAAUACAUGACUCACACAAGAAAAUCAUAGUCGUUCCAACACCAAGAUAAUAACGAAUAACCAAACACAAUCGAAAUGCGGAUGAAUGGUUGAAGGAAGAACAAUGACCGUUCAAAUCAACAAGUUGUUACAACAUUGAAUUACAAUAAAAAUCACAAUCGAGGUACCACCUCGUGUUCACAUUUCAAAAUUUCAAUCAUAAUCUUUCCUUAUAUCACCGCGUGAGCCUUACAUUUAGUUUUGAAAAUCAUUUUUCCCGAAAUAGCUACACGCGUUUUAGCCCACCUUAUCUCACUGUGUGGCUUCAAGUAGUUCCCCUACUAGCAACACGCGUAUCAAGCCCACCUUAUAUCACCUCAUGCGUAUCAACCCCUAGCCUUAUAUCACCACAUGCGUAUCAAUAUCACAACACAAUCACAACUUGCACCACAAGUGCCCAUAUGCCAUAACUUGUCACAAAGUCAACAACACCAAUAUUUUCACAAUAAAUAGCUCAUGGCUCAACCACAAUGUGUACAAGAAUUUCAACAAUAACAAAAUGAAUGGGAAUGCUCAACAAGGAAAGGUAUCUCAACAAUUAACAACUUCGCCUCAAUGUGAUAACGACUAUUACAACUUCAACACAAAUAACUCAACAAGAUGAUAUUCCACGAAAUAACAACUCAAAUUAAAAGUGAUUCAACAAUAAAGAGGUAACAAGAUAAUAAGGAAGGAAAUAACUUCAACUAAAGCAUAUAAGAUCAAAAUAACAAGUAAGAGGUAGAACAAGUGCUAACAACGUCAAAUAGAGCAUGUAAGAGUAGAUUAACAAUGAGAGUAACAUGUUAUGACAAUUCAAUUAAAGGCAUGGAAAGAGUGUAGAUAAUCUAAACCGGUAAAAUACCAUAUAUAGCACGUGUACCCUACUCGUCACCUUGCAUACAUGGAUUUCACAUAAUAUGAAUAGCACAAUCAACCCAAAUCCCAAGGGGUAGUUUCCCCCACACAAAAUUAGGCAAGAUACUUACCUCAACUAGGCCAACUCAGCCCUUCGAAAUAACUUUUCCCCUAAAAUUUGUCUUCACACGGCUCAAAUCUAACAAAAAUGACUUAAUAACAUCAAACAAUGUAAGAGAAACUAAUUACAAUAAAUAAAGCUAUGAUCUUUAUAUUUUUACCCAAAAAGUCAAGAAAAGUCAAUGUUGGGCCCACGUUAGAUUCCGAAUCAAAACUGACUCAAUCGGAGUCUGAUAGCUUAACCAAUUCGCAAAAAUAUCGCUUUUGGGUGUUCAUAACCCAAGAGUCCAACCCACAUUAGUUGGGUCCCAUAUCUCCCGAAAUACUCCUCCAAAACUCGACAAAUUCGAGUAUGUUGUUCUCCUAAUAUAGGAGAACAAGACCCCAAAAGGAAUCGGGAAAUAAACAUCUCUAACUCAUUUUUAAUUUUUAAAAUUUAGGACAUAACCCUAGGUCUUGAUUUAAAGAAUUAAGUGGGUUUUCAAUUAAAAUCAUGGAUUAAAGCUUAAACCCAGAGAAUAAUUCAAAGAAAAAUACUUAGGUUAUGGUUUAGACCUUAUCCCAUGAUAGAAACUUGAAUAACACCCUUGAAUUCUCCUAAUCCCAAACUUUCAAGAUGAGAAAAACUCCAACAACAUUAAUAGCCAAAAAUGCCGAGCUAUUUUACCUCGUUUCUUGCGCCAAAUGAUCUCGAAACACGCUUUUGAUGCCUCCAAUGGAUUUUUCGUGAAAUUAUAGUUAAGUUGGGCUUUUGAAUCACUCCAUUUGACCUUAUAAUGAAGGAGAUAUGUUGGUUUUCAAUAUUUGGAAUAGUGCUGAUUUUUAAAUACGAAUUCAGUGGCAAUUUCGUAAUUAGCCUAAAAAAAUCUGGCAACCCAAUUCUUAGUAAAAUGACCAUAAAUUCCUCAUACAAUGUCGAAACUUGAUGAUUUCAGUUUUUAUGAUUCCAAAAUUACGAUAUGGAUAUAAUGGUUUAGUCGAAACACGAAUCAAAGGCCGUUUGCUCAAUAUGGUAACCUUUAUACUCAAAUAGACGUCGAAACCGAAAACAAUCAUCAUACAACCCAAACUUAUCCAAAAUUCAUCAGAAUUUAACCAAACUUUGUGGAUAUGUCUAAAAUUAUCAUACAAACUUAUUGGAAUAAUUAAAACCCGAUUUUCGUAUCCGUUUACCAAAAAGUCAAACAUUGGUCAACACUUCCAACUUAAAAUAAAACGAGAAUCAUUCUUCCAAAACAAUCCCGAACUGCUCGAAAACCGAACCAACCAUACAUACAAGUCAUAAUAUAUAAUAUGAAUCUACUUAAAGUCUCAAACCACCGAAUGAAACGCUAAAGAUCAAAAUGACCGAUUGGGUCGUUACAGACGAGGUCAGGUCAAGAUACCUAUUGGACAAAAGAAACCUGAACAUAAUAUAAUAUAAUCUAAUAACUGAAGAGAAAAACAAUUAAAGGACAAUAAAGCAAUUUAUCAAUAUAGGACUAACAACGGAAAUAAAGCAAAUAAAGAGUACAUGUGAUAAGACAACAAAUAACCAAUUACAAUCAAAACACUAAUGGGACGAAAUAAGGGAACAAGAACAACAAUUGUUCAAAUCAUCCAGCCUUUCCAAUAUAGAAUGCACAACAAGAAUCAUACCGAGGUACCACGCCUCAUAUUCACAUUUCAUAAGUCACAAUCACAAUCUUCCUUAUAUCGCCUCGUGAGCCUUACAUUUAUUUUUAAAAUAUUUUUUUCUGAAAUAGCUACAUGCGCUUUAGCUCCCUUAUCUCACCACGUGGCUUUAAGUAAUUUUUUACUAGCAACACACGCAUAAACCCACUUUAUCUCGCCGAAUGCACAUCAACCCCUACCCUUAUACCGUCGCAUGCGUGAUAAGUAGGGAUUUUAGCUUAUUAAUUGCACUCUUUUACUUGUGUUUUGGGCCAAAAAUGCAUGAAGGUAUACUUGAAAACUAACUUAAGAUGCUAGCUUGCAGGGAUUGUUCAAAAUGAGCCAAAGGAGCCAUAAUCAACUCAUAAAGGAGUCAAAACUUGAACAAAAACCAAGACUGGGCCAAGAGGUGUGGAACGCAGACCGCGACAAAAAAGUGCGGCCGCAAAAGUAUCAACGCGGACGCGGAUAUUAUUUCGAGGUCCGCGAUAUGAAGAAUCAGAGAGAUGGUUUUUUGGGCAAAAACAUGAACGCGGACCGCGACAAGAAGAUGCGGCCGCGAAAGUACCAGCACGGUCGCGAUGGGAAUUCUGCGGACCGUGGUUGCUAAGGUUUAGAGAGUGCAUAAUUCAAGCAAAAAUGAGAAGGGAGGUCCGCGUCAAAGUUACGCAGCUGCGGAAGUCUCUCAUGCGGACGCGGUGGAAAUUAUGCGGUCCGCGAAACAAGGUUCAACCCAGAUCCAGAUGUGAAGAAAUGCGGACCGCGAUCAGAAUUACGCGGUCGCGAAAGCAAGUGUGCAGUCGUAGUCAGAAUUACGCGGCCGCGAAACUUCCGCAAGGAUAUUUUUGUCCGAAAAUUUUAGCUUAUUAUAAAUAGAUCUUUUUGUCAAAUUUAGGUUAUGUUAUGUUUUUGCUGAGUACGUGAGACGGUUAGGUUUUCCCUUUUAUGCAAUUUUAUACAAGAUUUACCUUAUAACAUUAGAUUUUCAUCUUUUANNNNNNNNNNNNNNNNNNNNNNNNNNNNNNNNNNNNNNNNNNNNNNNNNNNNNNNNNNNNNNNNNNNNNNNNNNNNNNNNNNNNNNNNNNNNNNNNNNNNNNNNNNNNNNNNNNNNNNNNNNNNNNNNNNNNNNNNNNNNNNNNNNNNNAAACACUGAUUCAUGCCUUUGUGACUUAGGCUCUUCUUGAGAAAGAGGGACUAAGUCUAGGAAAACUAGGCUAACAAGGAAUUGGGGUGAACUCAAGAAAUUGAUAGCCCCAAUAAAAGGGUUAAACCUAGAGAUAGUAAUACCCGACUUGAGCUAAUAUCACUUGUAUUGCAUGAAUACCUAUUUGGACAUGAGAAAGCCAAAUUGGGCAAAAUCACUCAAACUUCCGAGAGGUAUAGAGUGAGUACUUGGGUAUGAUAGCUAUAUUACGACCCCAAUCAAAUCAAACUCGCCUAGAUUCUUGAUACCCGUUAGAUAUCCACCUAGGCGGAAGUCACUACCCAAGUCCUUUUAAACACUUGAAAUCUAUCAUCAAAAAUAUUGUACUUAGCUCUAAUCUUAGCAUACAAUAGAAAUAGAAAUAGAAGUAGAAUCAACACCAUCAUGUUUGGAAAUGCAGUUAGGAACAACACACACAUCUAGAUUUAGAUAAAUACCUAAUUCCAAAUCAAUUAACUCCAUGUGGAAAUCGAUCCUGACCUUGUUGGGUAAAACUGCAUCGACCAUCCUCGCUACUCAAUAGUGGUGUAGGUUUGGCACCGAUCAAUUUUUGGCGUCGUUGCCGGGGUUGUGUAACCUAUUUUGGAUAGUUCAUGGACUUCGCCGGUACAAUGUGUCCCGGAGAAGGGGGGUAUGACUGUGAUCACAAAUGAGAAAAAUGAGUUGAUCCCCACCAGAACUGUUACCAGUUGGAGGGUAUGCAUGGAUGAUAGAAAGCUUAACAAAGUGACCCGCAAAGACCAUUUUUCAUUGCCAUUUCUUGACCAAAUGUUGGAUAGACUUGCCGGGCGUGCUUAUUAUUGCUUUUUGGAUGGGUACUCCGGGUAUAACCAGAUUCUCAUUGCACCUGAAGACCAAGAGAAAACCACUUUCACAUGUCCGUAUGGAACAUUUGCAUUCUCACGGAUGCUGUUUGGUUUGUGUAAUACGCCGGCUACCUUUCAGCGGUGUAUGAUGGCAAUAUUUACAGAUAUGGUGUAGGACUUCCUCGAAGUGUCCAUGGAUGAUUUCAGUAUUUUGGGGGAUUCAUUUGAAGAAUGCUUGGAUAAUCUUGACAAAGUGUUGGCCCGAUGUGAAGAGACCAACUUAGUGCUUAAUUGGGAAAAGUGCCACUUUAUGGUCGAGGAGGGCAUUGUUCUCGGCCAUAAGAUCUCAAAGAACGGUAUUGAAGUGGACAGAGAAAAAAUUAAAGUGAUUUCAAAACUCCCUCCUCCUACUUCCGUCAAGGAAGUGAGGAGCUUUCUUGGUCACGCGGGGUUUUACCGAAGGUUCAUCAAGGAUUUCUCAAAAGUGGUGAACCCCUUGUGCAAGUUGUUGGAAAAAGAUGCAAAGUUUGUGUUCAAUNNNNNNNNNNNNNNNNNNNNNNNNNNNNNNNNNNNNNNNNNNNNNNNNNNNNNNNNNNNNNNNNNNNNNNNNNNNNNNNNNNNNNNNNNNNNNNNNNNNNNNNNNNNNNNNNNNNNNNNNNNNNNNNNNNNNNNNNNNNNNNNNNNNNNNNNNNNNNNNNNNNNNNNNNNNNNNNNNNNNNNNNNNNNNNNNNNNNNNNNNNNNNNNNNNNNNNNNNNNNNNNNNNNNNNNNNNNNNNNNNNNNNNNNNNNNNNNNNNNNNNNNNNNNNNNNNNNNNNNNNNNNNNNNNNNNNNNNNNNNNNNNNNNNNNNNNNNNNNNNNNNNNNNNNNNNNNNNNNNNNNNNNNNNNNNNNNNNNNNNNNNNNNNNNNNNNNNNNNNNNNNNNNNNNNNNNNNNNNNNNNNNNNNNNNNNNNNNNNNNNNNNNNNNNNNNNNNNNNNNNNNNNNNNNNNNNNNNNNNNNNNNNNNNNNNNNNNNNNNNNNNNNNNNNNNNNNNNNNNNNNNNNNNNNNNNNNNNNNNNNNNNNNNNNNNNNNNNNNNNNNNNNNNNNNNNNNNNNNNNNNNNNNNNNNNNNNNNNNNNNNNNNNNNNNNNNNNNNNNNNNNNNNNNNNNNNNNNNNNNNNNNNNNNNNNNNNNNNNNNNNNNNNNNNNNNNNNNNNNNNNNNNNNNNNNNNNNNNNNNNNNNNNNNNNNNNNNNNNNNNNNNNNNNNNNNNNNNNNNNNNNNNNNNNNNNNNNNNNNNNNNNNNNNNNNNNNNNNNNNNNNNNNNNNNNNNNNNNNNNNNNNNNNNNNNNNNNNNNNNNNNNNNNNNNNNNNNNNNNNNNNNNNNNNNNNNNNNNNNNNNNNNNNNNNNNNNNNNNNNNNNNNNNNNNNNNNNNNNNNNNNNNNNNNNNNNNNNNNNNNNNNNNNNNNNNNNNNNNNNNNNNNNNNNNNNNNNNNNNNNNNNNNNNNNNNNNNNNNNNNNNNNNNNNNNNNNNNNNCGACACUUUACUUUCUAAGUAUGGUGUCAACCAUAAGGUGUCAACCCCUUAUCACCCACAGGCUAGUGGACAAGUUGAGGUCUCUAAUAGGGAGAUCAAGAGCAUAUUAUCCAAGACUGUCAAUGCAAAUCGGAUUAAUUGGUCAAGGAAACUUGACGAUGCUUUAUGGGCCUAUCGUACAGCUUACCAGACUCCAAUUGGUAUGUCUCCAUACCGGUUGGUAUUUGGGAAAGCAUGCCAUAUUCUGGUUGAAUUAUAGCACAAGGCCUAUGCGGGCGCUGAAGAAGUUGAACCUUGAAUGGGAUGUAGCUGCCAAUCUCCGAGUAGAGCAAUUAAAUGAACUUGAUGAGUUCCGGUCCCAUGCUUAUUCCAGCUCAUCCUUGUAUAAGGAUAAGAUGAAGUACUUACAUGACAAAUAUAUCUGGAACAAAUAAUUCAAGGAGGGUGACUUGGCUCUUCUAUUCAACUCUCGGUUACAUAUGUUUUCGGGAAAGCUCAAGUCAAAGUGGAGUGGCCCUUUUGAAGUGGUGCAUGUAACUCCGUUUGGUGCUCUCGAUUUGAAAAACAAAAAUGGUGAAAUCUUUAGAGUCAAUGGGCACUGAGUAAAGCAUUACCUUGGCAAGAUUAAUUAUAGCCACGUGGUGGCCUUGAUCCAUUUCAAAUGAUAAUGGUAACAUGCGUCGUGCCGCGACGUUAAAUCAGGCGCUUCUUGGGAGGCAACCCAUGUGUUUUGUUUUUCUUUCUUUUUCUUUUGAUUUUCUUCUUAGAAUAGGCAUUGUUUUGGACUAACUGGUUGUGAAGUGUAUGUAGGAACUGGUUGUGCAGUGCAGGAUUUUGACAGGGAAAGAUUUGGCUAAGUGUUGGAAGUUCGCGGCAGCACAUUUUUGUCCGCGGAUGCAUACUUGAAAAGAGCAAAAUGUCAACUCUCUGAAGUUGGACUGUUAAAAAAUAUCCUUCAGAGAUCGCGGCCGCAUUCCAAUUUUCGCGGACCGUGUUGAAUUUUGCGGUCGCGGCCAAUAUUCCGUGGACUGCACCCAUGUGCUUGAAGUUGGUCUACAUAAGGUAACAUAGCACGGACCGCGAUAGAAUUUCGCGGCCGCGCUCAGGUAAGGCGGUGGGUUUCACAGUUGAUUAGUAUAAAUAAGGGUUCCUUAAAUAUUUUACACUUUUCGAACCCUAACGUUUCACCGCACAAAAAGCAUUGUUCAUCUCAUCCUGCUCUCAAUUUUCAUCUCAUUCACAUUAAGAGUUCAUUUCCUACUACAAUUUUACAACUGGUAUGUUCAAUUCCAUGAUGUGAUUUUAUCUUUUUCUUUUCUUUUCUCUUUGUUUUAAUUUUUCUUUUUAGUUAGGGUUAGAUGCAUCCCAUGAUCUCAAAUUAAUGCUUAAUUGAUACUUAAAUACAUGUGGGUAGUGAUUAUAUGCCUAAUGGGGGAUGGGGUUAGUAACUUUGCAUGGUUAAUUGAACUAAUUUUUGCACACUUAGUGAAAACCCUAGUUUUCAGUGUUUUUAGUACCGAUCUUAUUUGAAUUUCGUGGCCGCGGUCCAUUUUACGCGGUCCGCGAUAGGGUAGGCGGCCGCGUUCAUUUUUUCGCGGUCCGCGCUACCCCAGCUUUUUGUUACUAAGUGAUUGCUAAGAGUUCGCGGCCGCGGUCACUUUUACGCGGCCCGCGGUUAGUCCUUCACGGUUGCGUUCAAGUUUUUGCGGUCCGCGCUUGUGAACUUCAAAGAGUCUGUUAAUUGCUUUCGCGGCCACGUUCAUUUUUUCGCGGUUCGCAAUUGGUCACUCGCGGCCGCGUCUAAUUUUUUGCGGUCCGCGUGUGUCCAAGAUCAGAGAGUCAGUAGUCUGAACCUGACCUUUUCGCAGCCGCGUUCACUUUUUCGCGGUCCGCGAUGAGCAUUCCGCGACCGCGUCUACUUUUUCGCGGUCCGCGAUGCCCUGUUUUGAGAAGCAUUGUUGUUCAUUUCAUCUGUACUGCUUUAAGGCGUGAUUAAACCCCAAUUCUAAUUAUCUUUCACUAAUUAUGUGUUGCCGAAAAUGGUGCGAUCUCGUGGAGGAGCAGACAAAUCAAAAGGGAGGGCAGAAUCCUCCCGAGGCCGGGGAAAAGGAAAGUAGGCUUUGCCCUUAGCAGCUCAAAGAAUCAUAAGCAAAAAGCAAACCCUCACUAGACCUCCUGCCGAAUCAACAGACACAAGUGAAUAUCUCCCAUCCCGAUAGGUUUCUGAGGGGGACUCUACACAACCUCAACAAGAGGCCCAAUUACAACCCUACCGCCUAAUCAAUGAAGCUACCUCCUCUUCUGGGUCGUCUGAUGGCUCAGAGGGAGGUAGUGAGGCAUCGGAGCCAUCUCCCUCACCUAAUGCAACUCUGGCCUCAACAGCUGCUCCUAUCAAUGUAGAUGAGGAUGACGAGGUCCCGGAUGACAGGAGAGGGGGUGAUACUAAUGUGGGUGGUCUUGCUAGAUCAAGGAAGCCCGAGGUGUGUGCGGAUAGAUUCGUGAGCGAGAAAGCAUACCUCAAAUUUCGAAAAUGGUGGCCCCAAAGGUCGCUCACCCUUAAGCGACAGUUUAUAGAAAGAGAUCUCCUUCCUCGUAAUCCAAAUGUCAAGAGACAGUUUGAGGAGAGAAAAGGGUGGAAGUACUUCACCAGCAAGGUUCCGGAUGCCAAUGAGUACCUUGUCAAGGACUUCUAUGCAAAUGUUGCCCACAUCAAAAAGGGCACCACUGUGACAAAGGUACGGAACUUGAAGAUACGGUUUGAUGGCGACACCUUGAACAAAUAUGCCAGUUUUGAGGAUGUGGAAGCUGUACAGUAUUUGGAGAAGAUGGCCAUAGAUGAAGCAGCCCGGCCUUGGCUAGCAGAAGUAAUAGCCAUUCCAGGGACAACACCAGCCUGGCUCGCAGCUGGAGUCCCAAUCGCCAGAAACACCCUCAGCUUUGAAGCCAAAGGGUGGUGCACAUUUGUAUGCAGUCGGCUUGAUCCUAGCCAGCAUGAUAGUGUCAUCCCACUCUCCCGGGCAAUCCUAAUAGCUUCCAUCAUGGCGGGGUAUCCAAUCAAUGUGGGGAACCUCAUGUCCCACCACAUCUCCAAAGCAACCUGAAAAGAAGAAAGGUCCUACCCCUACCCCAACUUCAUCACUAUGUAUCUCGAGGACCAACGGGUAGAGGGGAGACACUAUGACACGAAGGUGAAGCUGAAUAAACCUUUCUCCUGGUAUAGCCUCCAAGAACCGGACAACCCUAAAGUAAAGGGUAAAGCCACUACCUCCACUGGCCAGUCUGAAGAGCCAAGGGUAGUGGCCACCGGGUCAGAGCCUUUCCCAGCAGAAGGACCUUCAGCUGCCAUGCCUCCUCCUUCAUCCGGGCCAUACAUCACUGUGCCACUAUUUGUGUCCUCAUCUUCUACUAACCCCCAGACUGCACUGCGGGUUUCUCAGACCUUAUCCAGCAUCAACAACUGGAUCCAGGAAGCUACAUCAAAGAUGUCUGUCUUAUCCAGUGCAUUAGCAGCACAAUCAGCCCCAGCACAGCUUCAGGUACCUCCAUCAGUGGAGGAUUCAUUGAAGGAGAUUCUGGACAACCAGAAGAAGCUCUUGGACAAUCAAAAGAAGAUCCUGGAGACUUUGGAUACUCAUUACAAGGUGAUCAAGGAUCUAGGCAAGCAGGUGAAGAAAAUAAGAAAGACUCAAGCCUCAAAGGAGUCAGUGGAGAAGCUGAAGAGGGAGGUAGAGAAGUUCACUUCUGCUGGAGAUAUCCCACUUGACUUGCUUAUGGAGGAGACUACCCCAACAGCACAGGUAGUAGAGCAUGAGACAGAUAGAGCUCCAGUUAGAGGACCCGGAGGGAGCUGAUGAUCCUAUGCAGUCCGAGGACCCCACUCAUGUGCCUGACCCCAUGCAGACAGAGACCACAUAGGGAGUUUUCUUUACUCUCUAACCCUUCCCUGAUCUUAUUUUGGUAUUAGCAUUGAGGACAAUGCUAUCUUUUAUUUGGGGGGUGGUCCAUUUUGAUUUGGUUAUGAUUUGAUGACAUUGGUAUGUAAUAACUAUGAUACUAUUUUUCUUUACCUUUAUUUAUCGUUAUUUUCACUUUCAUUAUUUUCCACUUUUGGUAUGUAUAUAACUUUACCAUUCGAUGUAUUUAUUCAUUUCCAUUUUGUAUAUAUUCAUUUCACUCCAUUAUUGUACAUAUUCAUUUUACUUUUUGUAGUUUACUUCAUAACUUCUUUCGUAUUUUACCUUAAUAGCUUAGCUUCUUAUUUUCUUUAGUAGUUUAUUUUUGAGUUUUUAGCUUCUUUUACAUUCUGCGUGAUCAAUAAGCAUUUAGUUUUCUUAAUGUCAGGGUUCUUUCCAAAGGUGGAUGUUACGUGAACCGGGUGGCUCUUCCCAACGAUGGAUGGCGUGACAACCUUCUUAAGGGAUUGAUUUCGUUUUCUUUUUGCUUUGAUAUAUAGUAGUAAUAAAUAAAAGUGUCUCAAGCAGGCUUCACUUGGUACUAAAAUAUUUACCUUCGACCUCAUAGUUAGAGACAAGUUGAUUGACAAAGAAUAGCUCUAGUUGUGACCUUUAGACUCUUGAUUUGACUAAAACAACGAGUGGUUUCUUUGAGCAAUUUGUGAUCUUCAAUCUUAGCUAGGGUUGUUGUGGGCCCUCGACUCUGUUCUCUUUAACAAUCCAGUAGCUUGAGAGGUGAGGUAUUGAAUUGCAAGUCCAAAUCCCGUGCCAAUAAGUCUAGAACUUGCCCUGAAUGUUUGUCUACGCAAAAUUCUAAGUGUAACUCGAAUUGAGAAGUGAUUGUAGGCUCUCCUUGGUCUAAUUUGAACUUUGAAAGCUUCUGUAGCCUACCAUUAUGAUAUCCCUAGUCAACUCCUUUGAGCCUAAGCCUUUUUCAUUCAAUAGCCACAUUACAAGCCUUUAUCUAUAAUGAUCCUCUCUUGGCACCCAAUCUUUCCUUAGCAUUCAUGAUGAACAAUUGGCAAAAGCAUAAGUUUGGGGGAGAGACGAGAAAAUUGAAAGUGAUAAAAGGCUUUUAAAAAAAAGAAUUGAUGAAAAGGAAAGGCAAUGAAAAGGAAGAAAAGCCAAAAAUAAAUAUGUCAUAAAGAAAGAGAAGGUUGAAGGGAUUCAAAGAACAUAAUGAUGAAAGGCAAGGAAUGAUAAGAAAAUGAGAAAAAUGAUUGUCAUGAGUAAGAAAGAGUGACGGUUUGUCUCUCUAGUUCCCCUAAGGAAGAAUAAAAAUGACUCAAAGAGUCAAGAAAGUAUGAGCCGAAAUGAGAAAAUGGAGUGCUUAAGGAAAGAUGAAACCAUCACAGCUCGUUAUGUCCUACCUUGAUCCAAAAGCAUUCAUUACAUCCCUGCUAAAGCCCUAUAUGAUUUCAAGUUGAGUGAGCUUACAUUAGUGGUGAUUUACAUAAGGGGCAAGCUUAUGGUACUUAGAGUCGGACUUGUGGCAUUCUUUUGAGAGUGAUGAGCGCACUUCUUCACAAUCCUUAUUUUGAGUGUUACAUUCUAAAAAGUGAGAUUUGCUCAUGGAGAGUAGAGGAGGAGGAGUUUGGAAUCCACAAUGACCUACGUGAGAGAGCGAGCUUCGUUGAUGAAUUAUGUCAACUCUUGAUGCUCUAGUGUCACAUUAGAACUAUGGAACUUAAAAGGUCAUAACAUGACGUUGUUGAUAAUUCAUUUGUAUUGAGGGUAAUUGUUAGUCCCAAUUGAUGCUUGAUGAAGUCACCUUAGGCCAGCUGAAAUAUCCUUUUCUUUUUCUUGUGGAGGUGGGAAUUACCUUAUUUGCUUGAGGACAAGCAAAAGCUUAAGUUUGGGGGAGUUGAUAAGUAGGGAUUUUAGCCUAUUAAUUGCUCUCUUUUACUUGUGUUUUGGGCCAAAAAUGCGUGAAGGUAUUCCCGAAAACUAACUUAAUAUGCUUGCUUGCAGGGAUUGUUCAAAAUGAGCCAAAGGAGCCAUAAUCAACUCAUAAAGGAAUCAAAACUUGAAAAAAAACAAGACUGGACCAAGAGGUGUGGAACGCGGACCACGACAAAAAAGUGCAGCUGCAAAAGUAUCAACGCGGACGCGGCCAUUAUUUCGAGGUCCGCGAUAUGAAGAAUCAGAGAGAUGGUUUUUUGGGCACAAACAUGAACGCGGACCACGACAAGAAGAUGCGGCCGCGAAAGUACCAGCACGGCCGCGAUGGGAAUUCCGCGGACCGUGGUUGCUAAUGUUCAGAGAGUGCAUAAUUCAAGAAAAAGUGAGAAGGGCGGUCCGCGUCAAAGUUACGCGGUCGCAGAAGUCUCUCACGCAGACGCAGUGGAAAUAAACGGUCCGCGAAACAAAGUUCAACCCAGGUCUAGAUGUGAAGAAACACAGACUGCGAUCAGAAUUACAUGGCCGCGAAAGCAAGUGUGCGACCGCGGUCAGAAUUACGCGGCCACGAAACUUUUGCAGGAGUAUUUUUGUCCGAAAAUUUCAGCUUAAUAUAAAUAGAUCUUUUUGUCAAUUUUAGGUUAUGUUAUGCUUUUGCUGAGUAGGUGAGAUGGCUAGGUUUUCCUUUUUGGGUAAUUUUGUACAAGAUUUACCUUAUAACAUUAGAUUUUCAUCUUUUAAUUUAGUAUUAUGGAUUAUAUCUUCUCUUUAUCAUUGAUUUCUGCUAUUAUUAUGAGUAGCUAGACCCAUAGCUAGGGUUGUGAUCCGACCCUAGUGUGGGUAUUUAAUGGGUCUUAAAUUUUAGGGUUUGAUUGUUUAUGGGUUAGUGAUAUUUAGCCUAGUUCAUGCUAGAAUUGUAGAAUUAGUGGUUGCAAACACUGAUUCAUGCCUUUGUGACUUAGGCUCUUCUUGAGAAAGAGGGACUAAGUCUAGGAAAACUAGGCUAACAAGGAAUUGGGUGAACUCAAGAAAUUGAUAGCUCCAAUAAAAGGGUUAAACCUAGAGAUAGUAAUACCCGACUUGAGCUAAUAUCACUUGUAUAGCAUGAAUACCCAUUUGGACUUGAGAAAGCCAAAUUGGGAAAAAUCACUCAAACUACCGAGAGGUAUAGAGUGAGUACUUGGGUGUGAUAGCUAUAUUACGACCCCAAUCAAAUCAAACUCGCCCUAGAUUCUUGAUACCCAUUAGAUAUCCACCUAGGCGGAAGUCACUACCCUAGUCCUUUUAAACACUUGAAAGCUAUCAUAAAAAAUAUUGUACUUAGCUUUAAUCUUAGCAUACAAUAGAAAUAGAAAUGGAAGUAAAAUCAACAGCAUCAUGUUUGGAAGUGCAAUUAGGAACAACACACACAUUUAGAUUUAGAUAAAUACCUAAUUCCAAAUCAAUUAACUCCUUGUGAAAAUCGAUCCCGACCUUGUUGGGUAAAACUGCAUCGACCAUCCUCGCUACUCAAUAGUGGUGUAGGUUUGGCACCGAUCAAUGCGCAUCAAUAUCACAACACAGUAAUCAACUCGCACCACGCGUGCCCAUAUGCCUCAACAAUUCCAAAAUUAACAACAUCAAUAUCACCACAAUAUAUAACCCAAGGCUCAAUAACAAAGUGUAAAAGAAUCUCAAUAGCAAAUAAAAGGGAUGAGAAACAACUCAACAAGGAAAAAUAUCUCAUGAAACAACAACUUCCAAUUCAAGUAUAUGACAUAAGCUUGACAAUGAAAGAGAUAGCAUGAAAUAGUGACUAAGUCUAAAUGCAUGAGAAUAACUCAACCAUAGAAGAAAUGGCAUGUAACAGCUACUACAAGUAAAUGCAUAUAAGAGUAACUUGACGAUAGAAACUAGAGCAUGUAAUGACAAUUUCAAUUAAGGAGCAUAAAAUAAUCUGAAUAGUACAAAUAACCCAAAUCCUAAGGGGUAGUUUUUCCCACACAGAGUUAGACAAGAUACUUACCUCAAACAAGCUAGAUCAAUCCACUAAUAAGCCCUUCCCGCGCAAAUUCAACUCCGGACGGAUCGAAUAUAGCCAAAAAUAAUUUAAUAUCAUAAAUAAAAACCAUAGGAAGCAAUUUCGGAUAAUACAGAUUUGAUCUUUAAUGAAAGUCAAAAAGUCAACAUUGGGCCCGCACCUCGGAACUUGACCAAACCCACAAAUUCCGAACAACCAUUCUAAUACGAAUCCAACAAUACCAAAAUCAUCCAAUCCCGACCUCAAAUCGACCUUCAAAUCCUCAUUUUAUACUUUAGGAAAGCUUUUACUAAAAUCCUCAAUUUCUCUAAUUCAAAUCACUAAUUAAAUGAUAAAAACAAAGAUGGAAUCAUGUAUAAUGGACAAAUCCGCGUCAAAAAUACUUACCCUGAUCCAAAUCGUGAAAAUCCUCUCCAAAAUCGCCCAAAACCUAGCUAUCUAACUCAAAUUAUGGUAAAUGAAAUAAAACCUCGAUCCAGCCUAUUUCUGCCGAGGCAUUCCGCACCUGCGGGCUAACACUCGCAUAUGCGACUCCGCAUCUGCAGAAAAUUCAUCGCAAGUGCAGCUUCCACUAAAGUCCAAAAAAUCCGCUUCUGGAUACUCAAAUGCGCUUCUGCGAAAACAACACCGCAUUUCUGGCCCCUCACCAACAGCCCAAUAUCCACUUCGGCAGUUAGGAUCACAGUUUACAAUACCACACCGUUUAAGAAUAUUUUUGAACUAGCCUAAACCUAACACAUUGAAAAUAUAAAUUUUAAGUUAUUAAAUGUAUGAUAUCAUUGCAAACAUUUUUACUCAAUUUAUACGAGUCCAACUUAAAGUUAAGUAUUACUUUAAAAUUACUAGAGUAUCUGUGACACAACUCAAAAGAUAGUGAUUGCGUUAAGGUAAGUGCUGUUUAUAUAUCAUACAUAAUAUCGAUCCAACCACGCUUAUGCAUGCUGAUGCACUUUCUUGUUGUAGAGGGUCCUUCCCAGAAUUGUGACCUACAAAAGAAAAACUGUUAAUUUUUAUCUGAAAUGUGUAUCCUCUUUGCUAAUUAUAAGAAUUAACCGGAAAAAAAAAAGAAGUUAGCUUUGAUUUGCAGGAAACUUUAUUGGGAAGCCGGGUACUAACACAGCUGGCCGGCCCGCAUCCAUUCUGUGUAAUGAAAUUUGCUGUUCUGGACAAUUAUUAUUCUAUAAGAGACACCAAGACAUCCACUUUCAAGUUUCAACUCCAUUCGUUUUUAUCUUUAAAAAUGUAGAUAGCAGUAUCAAAUUUUAAUACUCCAUACUUGAUGAUGACUUCCUAUUUAAUGUUUUAAAUUAAAUAGGCAGGACUUGCAAUGUACUCCUUUUUUUUUUCUUCUUUCUUUUAAGAAGAAUUAAUCUAAAUAACCGUUCACGUAAUCUUUUAAAUUAAAAUAGUCGGUUAAUAUAUAUAUAAAAUUAUGUAUAAUUAAUAUAUAAUUUAUGUAUAUCGAUUAGGAAAAGUAAGUAUUGAAUCCGACCGUUAGUUGUGUAACAGUUUCUUUUAUACUAUAAAAGAAUAACUGACAUGCUUUAUUAAAUAGGCAGCUAUCAUCUGUUAAACUUUGUGGUUUAAAUCAAAAAAUUUUAGUAGAUCACCUACCAAACUUCAACUUUAAAGCAAUCAAGAGGGACACAACGAAAAAGAACCAAAUACAAAGAAAGGCAUUAUUAAUGCCGUAUUAUUCCUUGGUUAAUGAAACCUCCCAACCACAUAUAAAAGACAAAAAAACAAAAGAUUAAUGUAUUAACUAGCAGUAUGGGAAUUUAUUGACCUUCCCAUUCCGUGUAAUUUCUUUUCACUCAUAUUUUUGUAAUUUACAACGCACACUAACAUAUAUUGUAACUUUUCUUUUUUUUUUCCUUUUUCAUAUAUGCAUAUUUUAAUAAAUCAAUUUAG
rnacentral:lncRNA from 1 species